CUGAACUGCUGAGGGGAGAUGGAGACAUUUUUGGAUUGGAGUCCUCCUGAGACCUACCCCCCAAUGAGAAAGGAAAGAAAUUAAGAAAAAGAUCAACAAAAGACAAAGUAAAGGGCAGGUAUAAACAAGAAGAAGAUCUGCAGAAGGGACAUGGAAAAGACUUAAGAGCCUCGGACAUAAGAUUGGUUGAUGGACUAGAUGGAAUGGACAAGAAGGACUGACAAAACCCGAGACCAGGAAGAAGAGACGUUGGAUGAAGAUUGGAAGAAAGUUUUUAAAAAUUUAUUUUGAGAAUUAGUGUAAAAUUAACGAGUAUUAGGAAAAAUGUUGGAAUGAAACUAUUUGGCUUUAGUAGAAAUGAUAUAAGGAGUUAUAUACAAAUAAGUAUUAAGUUUUAAGUUUUAAGGUUUUUUUUAUGGUAAGAUAAGGUUAAAUAAAUUAAGAUAAAUUAUAUAACAAAAAUUGAGAAAGAUGGAAAGAAUUUGCUGAAACAAUUAAUUAAAUUAGAAUACAAAAAGGGAGGUGUGAGGAGGUCGAUGAAUCAAGUAAAUGAAAGAUAAAGAUAUGGAACAUUGGAUGUGUGUUUUAAUGUUAUUGUUGUUGUUGUUUUUGCUGUAUUGUUGAAUUGUUUUUUAUGCUUUUCUUUUUAUGUAUUGUAAUGUAUGUUUUGUCAAAUUUUUUGUUGUUUUCUUUUUCUCUUUCUUCUGUAAUUCUUAAACUUUUAAUAAAUAUCAUUUAAAAAAAUAAAAAAAUAAAAAUCGAGGAUCCCCUAACUACCGGAAUAGUUUGAAACAAGAACAGCAUUUUCGGGAGGAUAUUCAUCUUGAUUGCCGCCAUCCUUCCGGACCAUGAAAGUUUUAACCUAUUCCAUAUAGCCAUAUCUUUUUUAAUCUCUUUCCACAUAGGUGUAUAAUUGUCGCUAAUUAAAUUAAUAUUUUUUUGAGGUUAACCAGAUACCUAGAUAUUUGACUUUUUUUGUGACUUUAAUUCCACAUUCCUGUUCUAUGUUCUCUUUUGUAUUCCUAUCUAUAUUUUUCACCAACAUUUUAGUCUUUGUUUUAUUUAGUUUGAAACCUGAUACUUUGCCGAAUUCAUCUAAUUGUUUCAAAACUUUGCCGACGCUUGUUUGUGGUUCUUCUAAUGAUAACAUUAGGUCAUCCGCAUAAGCUUUUAGCUUAUAUUCCUUAGUACCAACUUUAAUUCCUCGUAUUUCUGGCAUAGAUCUCACCUUGUUUGCUAUGACCUCUAAUACCAUUAUGAAUAGUAAAGGAGAGAGAGGGCAACCUUGUCUUGUUCCCUUCAUAAUGUUGAAUGUGUCUGUCAAAUUGUUGUUAACAAUUAAUUUAGGUGUUUGGUUAGAGUAGAUCGCCUUUAUACCUUUUAUGAAGUUGCCCUCUAUCCCCAUUUCCUCCAUAGACUUUAACAAAAACUGCCAUGAGACGUUAUCAAAUGCUUUUUCAGCGUCUAUAAACAAUAAAGCCGCCAGUAUUUCAUUUUUUACUUCCAAAUAUUCAGUAAUAUUUAUAAUAUGUCUGACGCUAUCCUUUAACUUUCUGUUUGGAAGGAAUCCAGCUUGAUCUUUAUGUAUGACAUCUUUUAAACAAUUUUUAAGUCUGUCUGCCAAUAUUCCCACAAAAAGUUUAUAAUCGUUAUUCAGCAAUGAGAUAGGUCUGUAAUUUUUUAUGUUCAAACUGUCCGUAUCUGGCUUGGGAAUCAAGGUUAUAUGUGCAUCUUUCCAUGAAUCUGGUAGGUUCCUUCCUUGCAAAAUACUAUUCAUCACCUCACAUAGCACCGGGGUUAAUUGAUCCCCCAGUGUUUUGUAAUAUUUGGCCGACAAACCAUCUGGGCCUGGGGCUUUGCCCAACCUCAUCUUGUUUAUUGCCUCCUUUACUUCUUCUUUCGUAAUUGGUUUGUUCAGCUGUAUUUUUCCUUCUUCACCUUUGUGUUUUCCCUUGUAAUCUUCAAAGUACUUUCUUAUUUUGUUUGGGUCUUCAUUUUCUCUUUUAUAUAGGUUUUCAUAGUAUUUGUGAAAUGUUCUCAUAAUUUCCUCCGGAUUUUCUAUUUGUCGUCCUUCUAUUUUAAUCUUGUUUAUUACACUUUGUUUUUGUCUUUUCUGCAACUGCCAUGCCAGGAGUUUCCCUGUUUUGUUAGCUGAUUCAAAAAAUCUCUGCUUCAUGGAUUUUAUUCUCCAUUCUACCUCUUGAUUAACCAGUAUUGAAUAUUGGGUUUGUAACAUCUUAAUAGCUUGUUUAUUUUGUUCAUCUUUAGGUUUUAUCAUUAAAUUUUUCUCAUAUAUUCUUAUAUGGUUUAAAAUGUCUUCUUUCUUUUUCUCUCUUAAUUUUCUUCUGAGGCUAUUUUGCUGUAUUAGGUGACCCCUCAUGACAGCUUUGCUUGCGUCCCAAACUAUGUCAAUGUUGGUAUCUUUAUUUAAAUUCCAUUUAAGGUAGUCUUCUAGGGUGGCCUUUGCCUUUUCAGUUAUCUCGGGGAUCUCAAAAAGGUAGUCAUUCAUCCUCCAUCUGUAAGCGCUCUGUACUUUACCUUUUAUUUCUAAGCCAAUGGGGUUGUGAUCCAACAAAGUUCUUGGCUGUAUUUCACAUUUUGAAAUUCUUGGUAUUAUACAUCUUGAGACCCAAAUCUGAUCUAUCCUUGCCCAGCUCUGAUGUGGUUCCGAAAAAAAAGGAGAAUUGUUUUGUACCCGGAUUUUUUUCUCUCCACACAUCUAUUAAGUCCAUAUUCUCCACCAGAUUAAACCACGUUUUUGGCAGUUUCCCUUGGUUACCUUUCUUUUUCUUUGAUGACCUAUCCAAUUCAGUUUUAACCACUCCAUUAAAGUCACCUAGUACAAUUGUUUUUUGACCUUCUAAUUCAAUCAGGCUCUCUUCUAAUUUUCUGUAUGUAGGAGUGCAAAUAUCCAGAGAUGUAGUGAUCAGGUGGGAUUGCUAUGAAGAAUUAUAACAGAUAUAGAGUAAGCCAUUUGUGUCAGCAAUGAAAGCAUUGCGUUGACUGGGUUUAAACUAUUUUGAUAUGAUUUUUGAUCAAUCUACACCUCUGCAUCUCUGGCCCUUUUGACCCUACUGCCCAUUUCUCUCUCCUCACGCCACGUACACAGCAGUACACAGCAGUUGCUUCGCCAGGCAGGCUUCCUGGGCCAUAAAGAUAGUAGGCAAGUUACUUUGAUGUAGUUUUCUUAUAUAUAAUCUUAAAAUGUUAAUCUUGGAGCCAGGAAACAGAUCUCACAUGAAGGUGGUAGUGAUCUGGUCUUUCUGGCCAUCCUUCUUAUCAUGUUUAUUUCUCACCUCUGGGGUUGCCAGAUGCACCCCUUUGUAGUUCUCAACUUAUUUACCACCCCUUUGUAAUUCUCAACAUAUUUACUCCAAAAUAUAUGCAUGCUAAUUAGUGUUGUAGUGUAACUUUUUCCCCACGUGGGGUUUGAUGAAAUGCUCAGAGGAAAUAUGAUUGGUUCUUACGAGCACUGUGUAAAAGAUUCUUUUGCUAAUAAAAUGGCCUGGUGAGGGGUGUGGUUUACGCACUUUUCUCCGAGAGCCUUUCUGGUCAAAGCCUCAUGUCUUGUUAUUAAUCAGGGUCCAGUCCUUCCUCUGCAAACGCAACACUGUAGAAUUCCGCCUUAUUAGUAUUAGGGGCAUAGAUAGAGACCACAUUCAAUUUUUCACCUUGAACAUUAAUUUGUACUCCCAAUAUCCUCCCCUCCUCAUCUUUACAGAUUAAUUUAGGUUCCCAUUUUUCUUUAACAUAUAGAACAACCCCUCUUUUUUUACGCACAUUGGAGCUGAUAAACUCCUCCUCUAGUCUUUUAUUUUUCAAAAUAUGCUUAUGUUUUUUAGCAAUAUGAGUCUCUUGCAAGCAAAUUACACCCAGAUAUUUUUUCUUCAAUACAUUUUUGAUUUUAUUCCUCUUAGAUUUUUCAUUCAAACCAUUCACAUUCCAUGUUAUUAAUUUUAAUGCCAUUAUUAUCUAAUCAGAGUUAACUAACAACAGAAGCUAAAACUAAGAAGAACUAAAAUUAGAUUCGAGUAGUCUUGUCUUCUAAAUCCUCCUCCUCCUCUUCUUCUUCUCCCUCUACUUCUUCUUCUAUUUCCUCCUCAUCCUCUUCUUUUCCUCUCCUUCUUUCUCCUCCUCUCUGUCCCUCCUCCUCUUCCUCUCCUCUACUUCUGGCUCCCUUUCCCCAAUUUUAUCCUCCAUCCUUCCGAGGUCCUUCUCAUAUCUCCUUGAGAAUUUCCGGACCACAGGUAUGAAGUUUACGGCAUGCAAUGCCUUGAGAGAGAAUAUUAUGAAAAUGAUAUACAGGUGGUACAUGACCCCAGUCAAGCUUGCAAAAAUUUAUCAUUUGCCCGAUAAUAAAUGUUGGAAAUGCAAAGAAACUGAAGGUCCAUUCUUUCACCUUUGGUGGACGUGCCCAAGGAUUAAGGCUUUCUGGGAGAUGAUCUAUAACGAAAUGAAAAAGGUAUUUAAAUAUACCUUCCUGAAGAAACCAGAGGCCUUUCUCCUGGGCAUUGUCGGCCAAUUGGUGCCAAAGAAGGACAGAACUUUUUUUAUGUAUGCCACAACAGCAGCAAGAAUACUCAUUGCAAAGUAUUGGAAGACACAAGAUCUACCCACUCUGGAAGAAUGGCAGAUGAAGAUGACGGAAUAUAUGGAACUGGCGGAAAUGACUGGCAGAAUCCGAGACCAGGCAGAAGAGUCGGUGGAAGAAGAUUGGAAGAAAUUUAAAGCCUAUUUAGAGAAAUAUUGUAAAAUUAAUGAAUGUUAGAAUGAUGUUGGAUAGAAAGUAAGUGUUUUCUAGCUGUAAUACUAUAAGGGAAUAUGAAAAAUGGAUUACUAACAGAUAAAAAUUUAACGUUACAAUAUUUUAAGAUUUAAGACUUGGAUAAACAAAGAGGGGAAGGAUUUGCUGAACCAACAAACUGAACUGGAAUACAAAAAAAGGGAGGCGUGAGGAGGUCCGGGAAAUAAGCUAAUGAAAAAUAAGUAAUGGAAAGAUUGAGUUGUUUUUAACUAUUUUUAUUUUCUAUUUUUCUUUUUGUAAUAUUUUGAAAAUUUCAAUAAAUAUCUUAUUAAAAAAAAAGAGAGAGAAUUUCCUCACUUCUUGUAUAUCUGUCAACCUAAAUCUUUUAUUUUUGUAAUAGAAGGAGAUCCCUUCUGGGAACUCCCAUCUAUACUGUAUACCAUUUCUUUUCAGGACAGUCACCAACUAUUUAUAACCCUCUCUUUUUCGUAAGAAUCUGGUAAGUAUUUCUUGAAAUAUGAUGAUCGGUCUAUCAUCAAUUAACAACUUUUUUGAUAGCUUGUCUUCAGUAUCGCAUUCCUCAUUUCUAAGGAGUUGAAUAUCACUAAAAAGUCUCCCGGUAGCCUCUUUGUUUUAGCUUGUAGCGACGUUACUUUUAUUCUGAACACAUUUUCCACAGUGAAUUCAACCUCUUCUUCUUUCAUAUUAAGCCAUUUAGCUAGCUCUUUAAUCAUUUUAACCUUUAUGUUUUCAUUUGCCUCCUCGCCUACACCUCUGAAUUUCAGGUUUAAUUGCCUCUGUCUCAUUUCAAGCAUGGCUAGACUGUCCCAAACUUGGUCUUGACUUUUGCUCAAGUCUCCUAAUUCCUCUUUGAUUUUGUCUGUCUCUCUUUUGUUCUCUUUCACUUCUUUUUGGAUUCUCUUGGUUGAUUCUUCUAUUGUUUUUGAUCUAACUGUCAGGUCCUUUAUUUUAGUUGAAAGUUCACCAACUGCCCCCUCUAUUUUCUUAUCUAACCUUUCCUGCACCUCUUCUAACUUCUUUUCUAAGAGCUGAUCACUUUGCUUGAAUUCUUUAAUCUUCCACCACAGAGCGUCCAGAUCUUUAAUUUCUUCUUGUCAUGAUGCUCUCCUAUCUGCUGGCGUUCCACCUACUUUCUUACCAUUUUUCCCUGACAUUUUGAACCCACUUUCUUAGAAUAUUACAGUAUUUUCAAGCAAUUACCAAAAUUCCUGGUGCAGUAUAUAAUUUUGCCCCUAGGGGGCCCACAAUCCACCUCUGAUAAUUCCUAAAUACAGAGAGCUUCAAUGCUAUUUCUCUAGUUUCCAACCAACAAGCUGUCUCUUACCAAAUAUACCAUUAAGUGUCCCUUUUCAGCCACUUUCUCCAAUUCUCUGUAUUUUAUCUUACACCCCUUCCUCCUUAAGCUCCUUAUUUAUAUUAUGUUCUCAUAUUGGCCAGUUAUUAAUUUUAAAUGUAAUAUAAUCAGUAAAACAUUUUUGUUAACAUAUAUCCAAAAACCAUAUAAUCAAUUGUUCCAAAGAGACCAGUACCUUGGUUUCAGAAUGUUCAGUCCAAAUUAGUACAAUCAAUCCAGUUAAUACACAUUAAUACUCCUUCUGUCCAAAUAAUACAUUCAGUCUAAUUAGUACAAAUGCAUCUUCCAAUUCUCAGUUUCCAAUUUUCAGCCACUUGCUGGCCUAAUCCCAAUUGGUUUACGCACUCUUCAGCCAUUUAUAGGCCUAAUCCAGAUUGAAACCGAUCAAUUUAAAAGUUUUUAUUAGUCCAAAGAUAAAUAUUUGUAAUCCAAGAGGUCUCUUUUAUUCUGUCUUCUUAUUAAAGAGUUAUGAUAUUGUAAUCCAGGGUUCAGAGAAAAGGCAACAGCAAAGCAUAAGAGAAAAACAAGAAAAUGGCUCUCCACUUCUAAGUCACUGUAAUUCCAGAAGUUCACCAGUAGAGCACGUGAAUUUGCUGUAGUAUAAGUCCAAUAUUCAAUUUGUUAUAAAGAGAAAAAAGAAAGGAGUCUAAAAAGAGGAAAAAUUUAAACCCACCUCCCACACUGUUUCGAUUUCAUUAUCUCGGAAAAGCCUGAAGAAGCAAGAGUGUGUACAGAAUUAACAAACUUAAAAUGGGAGGACUAUCCAUAUAUUUGCAGCCAUUAAUAGUCUAAUAAUCCCAUAGUAAUUUAGAAAUUCUUUAAACACAAAAACGUUGUUGUUAUUUUUAAAGCUCAGUUCGUGAAUCUUUGCUGUUGUUGCUUCUCAGGUCUUAUUUCUAUUGCCUUUUUGCAGCGAGGCUUCCUUUAGAAGGCUUAAACUUAAAUCUUUAAACCUCACCCCUUCCAGAGAAAGGGUAGCCUCCGUAGUUCUUUCUUCCAACGAAAGGGCAGCCUCCGUAAUCCUUUCUUUCACAGCCAAAAAGAUAAAACAAAGUUUCAACUCCGCUCUUCUUGCAACUCUUUGUCCAAAUUAGCCCUCAGUCUUUAAACAAAGUUGCAAAAAGCUUUCCUUUCGUACUCACUCAGCAGGAUCGUUAGCGUCUUUGCUUUCCCUUGCUACUUCCUUUCUCUGCGCCAUCUUUUUCGCCGAUACAGGAAAGGACUCUGUAAGUCAAUCCUUUAACAUCCAAAGAUCUCUUGAUGUUUUUUCUCAAGUAUUAAGAUUAACGCUCUCUCCGAACACCAAGAAACCUGUUUGUUAAUUUUGGAGAUUUACCGCUUUGCAGUAGAGGCAUAGAGACAUUGCAGGGUGGUGGUGCUUCCCGUCACGUCCACAGCUCCGUCCGCUCUCAAGCUUCUUAACCUGAAACUGUUCUUAACCUGAAGCACCACUUUAGCUAAUGGGGCCUCCUGCUGCUGCAGUGCGAUUUCUGUUCUCAUCCUGAAGCAAAGUUCUUAACCCAAGGUAUUAUUUCUGGGUCAGUGGAGUCUGUAACCUGAAGCAUAUGUAACCUGAAGCAUAUGUAACCCGUGGUACCACUGUACUAGGUACUGGGAUGCUUUGUUGUGCUUUCAGUGGCACUACACAAGUUGUGAUGGCCCAAUGCAGAUGGCUUCAAAAGAGGAUUAGACAAAUUCAUGGAGAACAAGACUAUCAAUGGCUAAAAACUGUUAAAGUUAACACCUCCGGGCGUUAAAUUGGCCUGAUUCUGCCAAUUUCAGGCAAGCUUGAUUGUCCUCCCACACUGUUAUGGGUAGGCAACAAUCGCCAUAUAUCUCCUGGACCAGACGUGUAGAAUUCCAGCUCCCUACAUACUCCUGAAAGAGUGCUGAAUUCUGCCUCAGUCGAUGACAGAGCAAUGAGGCUUUGUUUCUUGGACCUCCAGCCAAUUACAGAAUCUCUGUACAUUACAACCAUUCCGGAGAUAGACUUCCUGUCUGAAUUGUUGGCCCAAUCUGCAUCAGCCCAGCACUGAAGCUGUGCAUCUCCCUGAGCUGACAGUAUGAGGCUAUACUCCUUGGUCUCUUGCAGAUACCUAAGGACCCUUUUUACGCCAUUUCAGGCCAUCACACUGGGUUUUGCAGCCUCUCUGCUCAGGAGAUUAACAGCAAAGGCUAUAUCAGGUCUGCUCCAUUGUGAUAUAUAUAGCAGACUCCCCAGAGCAGAUUGAAACACCUCCCAGUUUUCAAACUCUGGCUUUACCUCAGACUGGCUGUCUUUCAGAAAACACGUUUUCAUUGGUGUUCUGACACCUUUGCAGUCUGCCAUCUUAAACUUUUGCAGUAAUUGCUCUAUCUUUGCUCUCUGGUUUAGCAAAAAACUGCCAUCUUGGUCUCUGUGAAUCUGCACCCCAAGGUAUAAGCUCACAUGACCCAACUCCAUGAGUUUGAAGUGCUGCUUCAGCUUCCUUGCAAACUCCUGCACCUGUUUACCUGUCCUGGCAACAAAUACAAUGUCAUCAAUAAAGAUAUGAACCAGUUCCUGCUGCUGGCCUGUCCCCUUCAGGUACAGGCAGCUGUCUGCCAGAGUCUUCUGGAACCCUAGCGUCCCCAGAGCUUCGUUGAGACAUAAAUUCCAAUUUCUGGCUGAUUGCUUCAAGCCAUAAAUGGAACGGUGCAGUCUCCAUACCAGACCUGGUUUGUCGCCCUCAAACCCUAGUGGAGGUAACAUGUAGAUCUCCUCCUGCAGUGGUGAGUUUAAAUAGGCAAAAUCAGUGUCAAAAUGAGCGACCUCUGAACCUCUUUGUGCUGCUAUCGCCAAAAGCAAUAGCAUGGUCUCAUUUCUGACCGUGGGCACGUACACCUGGGAAUAGUGCAGCCCCAGUCGCUGGCUGAAACCUCUUGCCACCAAUCUGGCUUUAUAUUGUGGCUCUCCACCUGCAGUGGGUUUCAACCUGCAGACCCAGCAACAACUCACUGCCUGCUGGUCAGCUGACAGUUGUGAGCGUGAAGACUCCUAGAGACUUCAUGGCACUAAGCUCCUUUUCCAUGGCUUGCUGCCACUUGCUGGAUUCUGCCUGAGGUAACUUCUGAACCUCACCAAAGCUUUCUAGUUCGCACUAAGCAAAACCAGCCCACACAUUCGUGACUGUGAAAUGGUCAGGUGGUUUACCCUUCGUGGUCCUCUUAGACCGUCUUGGCCCCAUGCCGGACUCCCCCUCUGACCCAGACGUGCUAGACUCUGCCUGUGAGUCCCUGGCAUCUGGUGAACCACCAAGCGACUUGCUGUGCCUGCGUUGCAAUUCUGGACUGCGCUUGUCUGUGGGACACAAGGGAGACCUUCCGUGCCUGUGCCAACUAGGCCAAGCCUGCGGAGAUGAGGGUACACUCCUGGGUUCUGACUUCACCUCUCUCUUUGGAAUUGCCCCCUCUGGCACUGCACCCUGGUGGUGGUCAGCAGUUUGGCCAGGACCGCCAGCAGGUGCAUUGCCAUCAGCUCUGCCAGGAGGUGCAAUUGGUUGAUCCCUUGAACCAAGACCUCUAAACAAAUCUGUGAGCACUUCGGGGUUUCCGUGAAUCCUGUCCCAACCAGCCUGCUCACAAAAUUCAGCGUUCCUGCUGAUUACCACACGUGAGUGAUCUCCACUUGGAUACGUAAACCUCCAGGCUUUUGACCCUGGCUCGUAUCCACAGAAAAUCAUUUUGCGCGAUCUAGGGCCACCUUUCCUGCACUGCUGUUUAGAAAUCAAUACCCAAGCCUCCGCCCCAAAGGUACGAAAAUAGUGCACCUUGGGUUUCCUUCCAUGGAGCAUGAAAUAGGGUGUGUUCCCAACCACAGAAUUUUACGUCCUGUUCAAUGUGAACGACGCUGCCUUCACAGCCUCGGCCCAAUAGCAUUUGGGCAGCCCUGAAUCAAACAGAAAAGCCUCCAUGGCCUCUUGCAGGGUUCGAUUCCUGCGCUCCGCAACUCCAUUUUGUUGCGGGGAAUAAGGCGCUGUCUUCCUGUGCUUAAUACCCUUCACAUGGAAGAAGUUUUGCAGACUAGAGGCUAUAAACUCAGACCCUCUGUCUGUCUGAAACGCUUUGACACGGGUGUCAAACUCCAAUUCUACUGCCACCACCCACUCUUUGAUCUCCUUGGCUGCUUGCCCUUUAUCUCGGAGUGUGAUAAUCCAUCCCACCCUCGAGAAAUCAUCGGUGAGACACAGAAUGUAUCUGGAAUUACACAAGCUAGCCACUGACAUCGGACCACAAAGAUCCGCAUGCACAAGCUCAAAGGCUUUCUUGGUCACCUCAGGUAAUUGGUGGUGUGCACUUUGGCUUUUUUACAAGCUCUACAUUCAAGAAACUUAGAGCACUCCUUCAUUUUACAGCCAUCAGCACACUCUACCUGUUUGUGCACAUAUCGCCAGUUCACGUGCGUAAAUCUUCUAUGCCAUAAGUGCAUACACUGGUCAUGAGUGGGGACGUUGGCACACUUUGCCUGUGCUUCCUCAGAAGUGUCAUCACCUGUUUCUAGUAUGUACAGCCCAUCGUGGCCUCGUACUUGUACUAACUGCUCCCCAUCUUUGGAAAUGGUGCAUACCUGGUUCCCAAACUGCACCUGAAAACCAGCAUUGUCAAGAGCAUAAACAGAACGUAACCCACAGUUCAUACCAUCAAGUACAUACACAUCAAUAUCAGCUUUCAAACAGGGCAUAAAAACAACACCAGCUUUUGAAAUAGCUCUCUUGGUUGUAUCAGCCAAUGUGAUUGUUGUCCCAUCUGGAAUUUGCCAGCAGUCUCGCAACUGGCCACCAGGUGGAGCUAGAUGCCUACUGGCCCCACUGUCAAUGAUCCAACGCUGUUUGCCGUUGGCUGCAGCCUGUCCAACAAAAGCAUACGUAGCAGCCUUCUGAUGUGUUGCUGGCUCUCCUCCUCUGCUCCCUCUCGCUGGGCCUCUCCUCCCAUGACGUGGUCUGCGUUUGAUCUCUCGGUUGCUAUUGGAGAGGAUCCUGGGGCAAUUUCUCUGCAGAUGUUGGUCUGAGUUGCAAACGUAGCACCUCCUCGCUUCUAAAACUUGCACAGAGCUCCCAGCAUCUUCUGCACUCCCACUCCUGGGCACAAAGCAACCCCCCUUCGCAGCCCCCCUCCUUUCUCUCUCAGCUUUUUAUCCUGCUCAUCUUGCAGCCAACCUGACACGUAUUCCAGGUCAAGCUCCUGAGCUGGAAUAGCUUCCAUCGUGAGAGAAAGAGUCUGAUAGCCAGAUUCUAAAGAGCUCAGCAAUAUAUAGACUUUUUGCUGCUCAGUAAAGGGAAUCUGGACAAACCUAGACAGCAUCUUAAAAAGUAGAGACAUCACCUUGCCAACAAAGGUCCGUAUAGUAAAAGCUAUGGUUUUCCCAGUAGUGAUGUAUGGAAGUGAGAGCUGGACCAUAAAGAAGGCUGAUCACCGAAGAAUUGAUGAUUUUGAAUUACGGUGCUGGAGGAGACUCUUGAGUGUCCCAUGGACUGCAAGAAGAUCAAACCUCUCCAUUCUUAGGGAAAUCAGUCCUGACUGCUCACUGGAAGGACGGAUCAUGAAGCUGAGGCUCCAAUACUUUGGCCACCUCAUGAGAAGAGAAGACUCCCUGGAAAAGACCCUGAUGUUGGGAAAGAUGGAGGGCACAAGGAGAAGGGGACGACAGAGGAUGAGGUGGUUGGAUAGUGUUCUCGAAGCUACCAGCAUGAGUUUGACCAAACUGCGGGAGGCAGUGGAAGACAGGAGUGCCUGGCAUGCUCUGGUCCAUGGGGUCACGAAGAGUCAGACACGACUAAACGACUAAACAACAACGGGAAUCUGUAGUUGCCUCGAACGGUUGAACAACGCCAGCAUCUGUGAAAUGUCUCUUUGACGCAGCCUCCGGGUUGCAAAUGUAAAUCAAAUAUCUGUCUGGUGACAUGAAUCCGGGCCCCAGCCAUGUCCUGCUGAUGCAUGCGUUGCAGGGCACCCCAGACCUUGUGAGCGUAGGUGGCGUGGUCAAUGUGAACCAUCUGGGCAUCGUCUAUGGCCAUGACCAAGUGAGCAACGGCUCUCUGCUCUCUCCUCAGUUCUUCGGCUGCAGGAGCUACAACUCCAGCUGCGGCCCCAUCCUGGGCCUGCAUAGGUGGGUUCUGCGUGCAAGUCCAAAGGCCUUUAGCAGUUAACAAAACCUGCAUUUUCUUGGACCAGUCUGCCCAGUUCUUCCCCAUCAGCUUUGGGAAAGCCGCCACAAAAUUUUCCUGCACCUCUGCCAUUUCCCCCCACUGGGGCUUGUGUUACUCACACAGCUGCCGCUCUCUCCAGCUCCCAGCUCUCAGCUCUCAGCUCUCAGCUCUCAGCUCCCAGCUCCGGAAAAAUGGCUUGCUUCACCAGCGAGUUUCUACUGUUCUGUGCCUUCAAGCAUGGUACGAAAACAGGCCUCCAGCUGGACUUUCUAGCUGCCGGCUGCAGCAGAGACACAGACCUCCAGUCCUGGCCAUCAAUCACCUCAGGACAUUCAGCCAUUAGCGCGUUACUGCCGACCAUAACCUGUUAAAGUUUGUUGGGUCGUAUAUCUUUUGACCCACUGAGUCUGCUGCAACGGCCCUGCAAUAAAUUUGAUUUAUUGCCACUCCGACAAACUUCCAACGGCACCCACACGCUUCCACUCCGCGCGCUGCCACUCUCCUCAGUUGCCAGAUAAUAGCAGAGUUCACACGCAUAUCUAACACUAUUUAGUAGCAUUCAAAACAGAAAAGAAAACCUACAGAAUCUAGCUGCAUGUUCACAGCUUUCUGCCUCUUAACAAAAAUGAAACGACCUUGCUAACGUUUUCAGACAGACUGCUCUCCAGAGAGAGCUCAGCCCCCACAGAGAGAGCUCAGCCCCCACAGAGCACAGAUCAAAGGAAAAAAGCACGGAUCAUGUGGUCAGUGCACCCAGUUGAUAAGAACGCUCCUGGAGUGUUAACUCCUGACAGUCCAGAACCACAACAAAAACCACACUGACUAUAUUCUACCUCCAUUGAUGGAGCAAUACCAGUUGCUGAGUAUCAGUUGCUGAGAAUCACAAGUGGGGAGAGUGCUGUUGUGCUCAGGUCCUGCCUUUGGGCUUCUUAUUGGAUCGUCUGGUUGGCCACUGUGCAAACUGGUGAGAAUCUGGCUCCUUCAAGAGGGAGACCGGUAUACAAAUUCAAUAUAAGAAAAGGAAGUAAACAGCAUUUUGGACUAACUGGGCUUUCCUUGUUCUUCAUGUUCAUGUUGCUUUUUCUGUGAUAAAACACACAAACAUGCACGCACGCACGUGCACACACACACAAUUUGCAAAACACAAUAGUACAUUCAAAGCAACAUAAAAAAUAAGUCAAUAAAGCAGCAGUACAUUAAACAAAGCUAAAAAGAGCAACAAUAAAAGCCAUGCCAAGGGACACAAGACCCUUUACGAGUGCUCCAAGACUCCAGCAGUUAAAAACAAUUUGCAGAGGGGCAAUUAAAAACCUGGGUGGAAUAGAAAUAUCUUCACUUGGAGGCAUAAAAAGGAAAAAUUAACUAAAAUAUUGAAUGGGAGUGUGGUAGGGGGGACUUGAUGACUGGCCUUGAGCAAGUCAGUCUGCCUCUAUCUCGUUAUGUCAUUCUUGUUGCUUGUUUCUCAGUUUCUCAGUUCCUUUUUCAGAUUAAUGAACACUUUUUAAAUAAAAAAUCUGAAGGUGGGAUCAGGGCCGGCCCACCCACAAGACUGAGGCAGCUGUCUCAGGCAGCAGAAUCCCAUGGGGUGGCACCUCCAUCGGUGCCCCACCCAGCCUUUCCGCCACCACUGGAGAAGUGAGGAGAAGUGACAGCAGUAGCUUCUGGCAUGAUCUCACAGUGCUCUGCAAGAGCUCACAAGAGUUCCCUGAGAUCUCACCUGAAGCUGCAAGUUCUCCUCACUUCUCCGACAGCAAGGUGGUGUGGGGACUCCAUCUUCCCAUUCCGCCUUGGAUGGCCAAACAGGAUGGGCUGCCCCAGGGAGGGAGGGAAGGAGGGAGGGGGGUAGGACCACAGGGACACAGGAAGCCACCUUAUAACUGGUCUAUCUAGCUUGUUUAUGCUUACUGGCAGUGGCUCUCAAGUGUCAAGCCCUACCCAGAGGUUGAACUUGGGAGCUUCUGCAUGCAAGGCUGUUGCUCUGCCACUAACCUAAACAUAGCUGUCAGCUUUUCCCUUUUCUUGCGAGGAAUCCUAUUUGGAAUAAGGGAAUUUCCCUUUAAAAAAGGGAAACGUUGACAGCUAUGGACCUACAGCCCCGCUCCUAGAUGCCAUAGUCCUUCCCUAACUGAAUAAAGCCUACAGUUAUAACACAAAGUAAAUGCAGUUAUAAUAAGUCAUGUAGCUGCCUUGGGAACAUAGGAUGCUAUGUGGAAUUACUGCCUGGGUCCGGCACGUUUCCGCUGCCGCAUAAAUCUUCCAGGCAGCAGCAGAGCAGGCAGCGAGUGCUUGACGUGUGAGAGAAAGGAAAAGUCCAUACACUGUUUCUUUCUAGGCUAACAGCUCUUUAUUUACAUCAGUAGGUAAAACAACAAACAACUCCAUCGGAGUUCGGACACAUGGCAUUUGCCUCUCUCGCUUCCCGGUCAAAAGUGAAAGUGUCUCACACAGACAAAGAAACUUCAGCUUCCGUUUGCGUAGGAAGCUCCUCCCCAGAUGUAGGACAUACAGAAGGUUAACCCUAUAGUAUGCUACAUCAUACUGAGUCACUAGUCCAUCUAGCUCAGAAUCGUCCACAACAAUGGACAGCAGCUCUCCAGGGUCUUGGACUAAGCUCCUUCCCAGCCCUACCAGGAGAUGUUGGAGACUGGGCCCCUGCCACCUGCCUUAUGCAUGCAAAACAGAUGCUCAACCACUGAGUUAUAGAAUCAUAGAAUCAUAGAGUUGGAAGGGACCACAAUGGUCAUCUAGACCAGUGUUCCCCAACCUUGGGCCUCCAGCUGUUUUCGGACUACAACUCCCAUCAUCCCUCGCUAGCAAGACCAGUGGUCAAGGAUGAUGGGAAUUGUAGUCCAAAAACAGCUGGAGGCCCAAGGUUGGGGAACACUGAUCUAGACCAACCUCCUGUGAAGCAGGAAUCUUCUGCCCAACUCUCGACUGAGAUUAAGAGUCUCAUGUUCUACCAACUGAGCUAUCCCUGUACAGCCUCUGGGCCACGCCAUGGGCACUAAAGUGCAGCAAUUGUUUCUCUGUUAUCCAUCUAUGAAAUGCAAACACUUGUAACAUACCUCUGGCAGCAGUUGUGAGGCUGUUCAAAAUAGAACUUUGUAGAUUCAGGGGUUUGUAGGUUCUCCAACUCUAAACUGCUGCCAAAUAUCCCUAUCACCAGAAGUAAAGUGGAUUUGGGUGCAAGUAGAUAAUUUCUUCUUCUCAAAUUCUGAAUUUGUAUCAGGUCAUGGAAUCUGUGCUUUGAAUGUUGAACAGACAGAGUUAGAUUUGAAAAUGAUGCACACGUGCGCUUGCAUACACACACAGCAGCUACAUCUUAGUGUUAAUUCAUAGUGAUGCCAGCUGGCUUGAGCGUAUCAAAAACUCAUGCUGAGAACUCCUUAACUAAUAAUUACUCCAUUGAAGGACUGAGAAAUCUGUUAUUAACCUGAGGGCAAAGAGCAUUUUGUUAAUCAGCCACAGUUCACACACACACACACACACACACACACACACACACAUCACAUUUAAGAACACUUGAAAUGAUUGCUGGACUUAAUCGUAGGGAUGAUGGAAAAGAGCCAGACUUGAUAUUUCUCUACUGGAAUAAAAUCAGCCAGCUCCAAUGUGGGGGUUGUAGGUCAUAACACAUCUAAGCAGUACUUUGCAGUGACUGAACUUUCUCUGCCAGAGUGAUCCAUUCAUUUUGUCGCUUUCCAUCCAGAGGAGGGGAACUCAGACUUGGGGACCAAAUGUGACCCUCUAGACCUGUCUAACUGGCCCUUAGGACUGUCCCCAGGCCAGAAACCCCCUUCUUAGGCCACACUUCUUGCUAGUCCUGCUUCACAUCCCAAUGGCUUUUGCCUGGCUGGGCUGUGUCCUUGAACUCCAGUAAAGCAUCUUCCUUUCCUUGAUGGAGGACAGAGAGGAGUGUGUAGAUGUGUGUAGAAACUAGCCUACGGCACCAUGGUAAAAUUUACAUUCAUUGCUCCACCAACUUUCUCCUUUGGCUUUGCCCACCAGCGACAUGUGAUUCAAAAUGGUGUCCAAUGAUUUCUUUACAAGGUAGCACAUGACUUGUAGUUCAUUGGUCAGUUCUUACCCAUAGAGUCCAUUGAGUCACCAGUAACCCAUGUUCUUAAAGGACUGGCAUGGGAAAUCUCCAGCCUGUGAGUCAAAAUUGACACACCAUGGGUUCAGAUUUGGACCAACAGGUUGUUUUCACCCAAAACACAUCCAUCUAACCAACACCUGAUGUUAUAUGCACUGAGAAGACCCUUCAAGGGAAAACAAACUUUGGUUCUAUGGAUGGUAAAGCUGCAAUCUGAUGAACUGGGUGAGCAAGUGAAGUCCCCAUAUGGAGACUCUUUUCUUUCUUUUUAAAAAUAAUUUUAAUUAAUUUUCCAUUUAACAAUCCAAUCAUAUCACAUUAAUUACUCCGAAUUAUAUCAAUACAUAUCAUAAAAAUCCAAAUAUUUUGCCGAAUUUUAAAUUUUUGUUGGGGGUACCAAUGCUUCGAGUUCAGAAAGGGUCCAAUCAUCUAAUAUUUCUACUGCUUUGAUAUUUCACAAGUCCCAUCUUCCACUCUUCUUGUUGUUAUCAUUUUUCUUCUUAAUAACCUCUGAGUUGUUUCCACAAGUGAGAUGAAGCAAGCAAUAUUAUGUUUCUGUGUGGGCUUACACGUUGAUCCAAAAGUCUUAUUCACGCGGCAGGCGCCUGUCAGGGAACUGACAUCGGAGCGAGAGGCGGAGGGAAGGCUCUCAAAUGAUGCUGGAAAAGGGCCCAGCAGGGAGAGAGGCAGCUCAGCAGAUGGGGAAGCAAUUCAGCGCAACACCAGGAAUAAAGAGAGGCAGAUGGGGGAAUCGGCGAGAGGGCUCCCAGACUCUUCACCGGACACCAGCGGGGAGAGCACGGGUCCUCCGCUACCCACGCCCUCCCUGCGCAGAAGACUUCCGCGCAGAGAGAGUAGGAGGAGACUGGGUGUCAAACAACUUUUAUCUUGGAAAAGGUUUAAGAAACGCCCACUGACGGAUUCUGCUAGCGACUGAGGCAGCCACGAAGUGAAGGGCUGUCCAGAAUGAAAGGUUUAACAAGGCAACAAAGCCAGGAGAGGCGGCAACUUACGCACGAGCAACCCAUACUCAUUACAGCAAUCCGUCAGUCCCUGACGUCGCUUGUGCACAGUGACAGGCAGGCAGCAUCAUGAGCAAAACUGGAGAAGCUGGCGCCACGGAGGGAGCAGCUGGAGUGCAAAAUCUGGUGGAGAGGAACCGAGAUUUGGAGCAGCAUGUGGCUCUGCUGAUGGCGCGGCUGGACGAAAGGCGGUCUCAGGAUGCUCAGGUCAGACCCACCCCCGUAGCAAGGAAGGUACCGGGACUGGUACACAAGUUUGGAGGGAAACCCCAGGACUACAGUGCGUUCCGAACGGAAAUAGAGUACGCGUUGGAACUGCAACAGAAUGAUUUUGCAGACGAUGGGGAGAGGGUUGCCUAUAUUGUCGGACAUCUGCAGGAUGGGGCCAGAGAAUGGAUCAGGCCCCUAAUGGCAACGCAGAAUGCCGCCUUGAAAGACCUGAGGAAAAUCUUCCAGGCAAUGGAUGCGAUGUAUUCCAGUGAUGUACAGCAAAGUGUGACUCGGCAGGAACUGAUGGGGUGCAAACAGGGGAACCAGUCAGUUAGAGACUACUGGUCACGCUUUGCCAUGUUAGUCCACCGGCUCGGGUGGGAUUUGGACUCUGAACCCAUUCAAAUGCUGUUCGAGGAGGGGUUGUCCCCAACGGUGAAGGACGAGCUUUCCCGCGCACCCCGCCCGCAGUCGAUGGAUCAGCUGACCAAGGCUGUGCUUGCGAUUGGUGUAAGGCAGGAAGUGCGGGCCCAGGAGAAGCGGGAAGAGAGAGAGCAACGUUACCAUGACUACCGCAUUCCUGAAAUACCAAGGCAGCCUUCCCCGCCGGCGGAGCCAAUGGAAAUAGAUGGGGCGUGUGCGCGGGAGAUUUCAAACUCCAGUGAAGGUCGCAAGAGGGAGGGAAAGGAUGGGAAAACCACCCAGAAGUGUUUUCUCUGCCAGAGACCAGGACAUUUUGCCAGGGUCUGCCCGCAAAGAAAGGCCUUGCAAGGGAUGGUGGGAGCUGCAGGGGGUGAGGAGGAGAUGGUAAAGGAGCAGGGAAACGCCAAAGCUUGGCUGCCACUCAGCGGGCACAGCAGCCAGGCCAGCAACCAAUAGAAGUGCCCCAACCAGACCCCCCCAGGGCGGCUAUAGCCAUAGAAGUGGUGCUAGAACUCCCAAAUGGGCACCCAGUCAAGGUGAAAGGGCUGCUGGAUUCAGGCAGUUCCUGCAAUUUCUUCAGCAAGGACUUUGCACUAGAGCACCAGCUCCACCUUCUGCCCCUGGAUUUCCCCUUGCAAGUAACCACCAUUGAUGGCAGGGAGCUUCUGGGAGGGGAAGUGACACACCAGACCCCACCAAUGAGAAUGAGGGUUUCCAGGAACACGGAGACCAUCGCCUUUCAAGUAGCCUCACUGGCAGGGCCCCCAAUAAUAUUAGGGAUGAGCUGGCUAGCACAACAUGAUCCAGUGGUGGCAUGGCAUCAGAGAACGGUCACCUUUGGGUCCGCUUACUGCUUGGAACACUGUCUAGGGAGGGAAACCCCAAGAAUGACCGUGGCUGGGAUAGCUGUGGAGCCGAAAGGGGAGGUGCCACCACUAUAUGCUGACCUGCAGGAGGUCUUCAGCGAGAAGGAGGCAGAUAGACUACCCCCACAUAGGCCCUUUGACUGCCAAAUCAACUUGCUCCCUGGGGCGCAGCUACCGGUGGGUAAACUGUAUGCCAUGUCGGACAGGGAGAUGAAGGAGCUGCGGGAAUUUAUUGACAAGAACCUGAAAAGAGGCUUCAUAAGAGAAUCAAAAGCGGUAGGGGGCAGUCCAGUGUUCUUUGUGGACAAAAAGGACACUAAUCAACCCAGGCUCAUUGUGGACUAUAGGGGGGUCAAUUUGGUAUCGGAACCCGUGACCUUCCCGAUGCCCAGGAUUGACGACAUUUUAACACGGGUGAGGCAGGGGAAAUUUUUUACCAAGCUUGAUCUCAGGGGGGCAUACAACUUGAUUAGGAUGAGGGAGGGGGACGAAUGGAAGACCACAAUGUUCACACCCCUGGGGGCCUUUGAGUACCUAGUUAUGCCUUUUGGAUUACAGUCGGGCUCCGCCUGUUUUCAAGCUUUCAUGCACCACGUGUUGGGGUCCCUGCUGUACAAGAACUGCGUAGCCUUCUUGGACGACGUCUUAAUCUAUUCGGACAAUGAGGAGCAACAUGUCAGAGACGUCAGGGAAGUGCUAAAACGACUGCAGAAGCACCAGUUGUGGGUCAAGCUGGAAAAAUGUCAGUUUCACGCCAGAGAAGUCGAGUUUCUGGGGUACAAGUUGUCAGACAAAGGCUUAGCGAUGGACCCAAGCAAGGUGCAGGCAGUGCUGGAGUGUAAGACGCCCAAAACCCGGAAGGACGUGCAGAGGUUCCUAGGGUUCAGCAACUUCUACAGGAAGUUCAUCAAGAACUUCGCCCACUUGACAGCACCCAUCACAGAUUGUCUCAGUAGCAAAAGGAAGUUCGUCUGGACAGAGGAGGCCCAGCAGUCCUUUGAAAAACUGAAAAGGGCGUUCGCAUCGGAAGAGCAGCUCCUGCACGUGGAUCUGGAGAAACCCAUGAGGCUAGAGACCGACGCGUCCGACAGAGCCAUUGGGGCGAAUCUUUUGCAGCCAGGGAGGAGCAAGCAGGAAUGGAAACCGUGUGCCUUUUUCUCGAGAAAGCUGAACAAGUAGGAGCAAAAUUAUACUGUGUAUGACGGCGAACUGCUUGCGAUCUAUGCGGCGUUUCGUCGAUGGCGACAUCUACUAAUAGGGGCGCAGCACAAGAUCCAGGUUUGUACAGAUCACAAGAACUUGGAAUACUGGAGGACCGCACGAGUGCUCAACCAGAGACAGAUUCGAUGGGCACAGGAGUUCUCCAAGUUUUCCUUCGAAAUCCGACACGUGCCAGGAGAGGAAAACGUGAGAGCAGAUGCUCUCUCCCGGAAGCCGGAGUACUUGGAAGGAGAGGGGCCACCGGAAAUAUGACACGUGAUCCCCAAGGACCUAUGGGUGUGUGGGGGAACCUUGGUGGGGCAACGAGAACUGGUUGCACUUACUAGAAACGACGUGUUCGCACAAACUAAAAUCCGGGAACUCCGAGACGGUAGAGAAACCCAAGGAGGGUUUGAGGAGAAGGAAGGGGUGCUGUACUAUAAGGGGGCGCUGUAUGUACCGGGGGAGGCCCUACGGGGGAAGGUACUCAAACAACUCCACGACAACCCCACAGCUGGGCACUUUGGACAGCACAAAACCAUGAUGCUCGUCACCAGGCAGUUCUGGUGGCCCAGGGUGAGGGAGGAUGUACGGGAAUAUGUACGGGGGUGCAACCGCUGCCAAAGGGCAAAGGGGGAGCGGGCUGCCCUCGCAGGAUUAUUGGAACCCUUGCCCACGCCGGGGAAACCGUGGGAGGUGGUGUCCAUUGAUUUUAUGACCGAUUUGCCCAAAUCCCGGGGGAAGACAGCGGUCAUGGUAGUGGUUGAUCUACUAACAAAAACGUGCCAUUUUAUAGCUUGCUCACAUGCGGUCACGGCAGAGGAAACAGCCAGGUUGUUUGUAGACCACAUCUUCAGGUUGCAUGGGGCUCCUUCGAGGGUUAUCUCCGACCACGGGAAACAAUUUACUUCCCGUUUCUGGAGGAAGCUCAUGAGCUUGCUGCAGGUCGAAGUGGGCUUCUCAACGGCGAGACACCCGGAAACCAACGGGCAAGCAGAAAGAGCGAACAGUAUACUCCAGCAAUACCUACGCUGCUAUGUCAACGAGAGGCAGAACGAUUGGGUAGAGAAACUAGCGCUGGCUGAAUUUGCGUACAAUAACGCUGACCAUGUGUCAACGGGAAUGAGCCCGUUCCUGGCCAAUUAUGGGUGUCACCCCAGGGCCUUCCCGGGGAGUGGGGAGGAAGGUUGGAGCGUACCGGCGGCAGAGCAGUUUGUGGAAGAAAUGGAAGCCCUGCACCAGCAACUUAAGAUGAACUUGGAGCGGGCCAAGGAAAUUUACAAGAGGCAGGCAGACAAGCGCCGUAGGGAAGGGGAGACCAUAAGGGUGGGAGAUCAGGUGUGGUUGUCAACCCAAGGGUUACCUUUUAAGGGGGGGUGCAAGAAGUUGCAGCCCAGGCGGCUGGGACCGUUUGAGGUAACACAGCAGGUGAACCCAGUGGCAUUCAAGCUCAAAUUGCCUGACAGCAUGAAGAUACACCCGGUGUUCCAUAGGUCCCUACUCUCACCGUACAGAGAAGGACGGGGGUUCUCGGGGCGAGAGGGGGAAGUCACCACACACCUGCAGGUAGAAGAGAGGGAGCACCGCAAUUUGGCCACGGAAAUAAUUGAUUCAAGGUGGCGAGGGCGCCAGGUGGAGUACUUGGUGACUUGGGAGGGAGAACCCGGGUCGGAAAACACGUGGGUUCCCGCGGAGGCAAUCACUGACGGGUAUCUGGUGGAGGAAUUUCACCUCCUGUUCCCAGACAAACCCAAACCACUAGCGAGAUUCUGGGAGGAGCAAUUUGGAACCACAGACGAUGAAGAGGAUUUUGUGGGUUUUUCUGCCUCCAAAGGGGAGGGAGAAGAGGCUUCGGAGGAAGAAGAAUCAGACUGGGAGGCCCACCCCGAGGGAAGGGAUCAGAACGGGUGGGAAGUGGGUUUUGAAUCCUCAGAGGAUGACGACAGCUCCUUCCGGGGUUCCCGCAUCGUCGGCCGAAGAAAGGGACGAGUUGGACCAACUGGUUGGGCUUGGGGUGGUGGGGGUCCUGGGGGGGAGGUGGAUGUCAGGGAACUGACAUCGGAGCUAGAGGCGGAGGGAAGGCUCUCAAAUGAUGCUGGAGAAGGGCCCAGCAGGGAGAGAGGCAGCUCAGCAGAUGGGGAAGCAAUUCAGCGCAACACCAGGAAUAGAGAGGGGCAGAUGGGGGAAUCGGCGAGAGGGCUCCCAGACUCUUCACUGGACACCAGCGGGGAGAGCACGGGUCCUCCGCUACCCACGCCCUCCCUGCGCAGAAGACUUCCGCGCAGAGAGAGUAGGAGGAGACUGGGUGUCAAACAACUUUUAUGUUGGAAAAGGUUUAAGAAACGCCCACUGACGGAUUCUGCUAGCAACUGAGGCAGCCACGAAGUGAAGGGCUGUCCAGACUGAAAGGUUUAACAAGGCAACAAAGCCAGGAGAGGCGGCAACUUACGCACGAGCAAACCAUACUCAUUACAGCGCCAUUUCGACAGUUCCGAUGAAACACAGUCUAAGCGUCUGCUCAUUAAUUUCCCCAGACCAGUUGCUCCAUAAAUCAGUCUUUCCAGGGGGGAUAUUGCCGAAUAGAUCUAAUCCAAACAAGAUAGCAGAACAAUGGCUCACCUCCCCCUUUGACUGUAAAUCUCGUAUUGUCUGUCUCGUAAUGGCGGAUCCCUGACUGCGUCACCAAGAAAGCCUUUAAUUAAUCUUUGUUUCCACACAGUUUAUUUUCCAGUCUCACUUGCUAUAAAUCAUUGUGACGGUUCUUCUAGGGGAGGGGUUGUUAGGUAAAACAUAUUGAAAAAGAAAGAAGUCCCCCCCCCCUUCCAUUUUGUUUCAACAUACUGACAUAGCUGUGAUUCUUUGCUGUGGUCUUCUGUUCAAUCCAUCCCAUCACUCUUAACUUCUCAGCGGUAGAUUUGAUUAGCAGAUAAAACCCCCUCUCCUUCGCUCGAAACAUGUGCAUUUACUUUUUACAUCAAAUUAUUUUAUCUUAAGCAAUGCAACUAGCUCACUCUCAGAAGCAGCGUCAGGGAGAUCCAAAGGUCACUCGAGGGCUUUCCGUCCAGUGCCCCCACCCCCUCCUUCUUUCGAACUUGGGGGUGAUUUAUUGGCAACCGUGGACGAGGCUGUGUCUCCCCAUCCCCUGGGGAGACCCCGGGAGGCUGAUUUACUCCCAUCAUCAGCCCCUUAAUUACCUCGUGUGAGCCGGAGAGAUGGUAUUGUCGGUCAUCUUCCAAGGCGCCCCUAGCGACCCCCCAUAUGGAGACUCUUUUCACAGCCAAUACCCUCUGAAUCAGCUGCACUAGCAAGUUCCCCAUUUCCCGAAACCAUGACACCUGUGAUGUCAUGUGUGGGACAGGUAGAGACACAUCUGCCAGUGCAAAGGGAAUAUUUCAGCUGUGUCACCUAACAGCUGUUGGGUAGUAGAGUUGAAGUGUGACAGAUUGGUUCCAGUGAUAACGCAAUGGUUCAGGUGACACCUGCCAAAAGCAGGCUUCAGCUCUACCACCUAUCAGUCUCAGGAACUUUAAAGCACCAUGCAUGACUCUCUGCAAGAGCUAUGUGGUGCUUUGAAGUCCCGACUGUGUGACUUCAAAGCACCCAAACCACAUGGGGAGGUCACAUUGACAGGUAACUAGCCCUGCCCAACUAUCAAAUUUGGCCUGUGCAGCCAGGAUAUAAUAAGAAUCUAGCCUGUGGAAUCAAAAAGAUCCCCCCCACCUCCCCAUUAACAGGAGAUGCUGAUUCUGCCAAACACUCCAUCCCGCCCCCUGUCUUGAAUGUUUGACAUUAUUAUUAUUAUUAUUAUUAUUAUUAUUAUUAUAUUAGGUAUGCUUGAGUCUUCUUCCAGGAUGUGCUGGCAACUUUUGAACAUGCAGGCAGAGCUUAUGGGAACAAUCCCCCCACCCACUGCGGGUGUCAAAAGUCCUCGUAUUGAGAAUUUUCAGGUGUUGCCCACUAUGGGCAUUCACUGAGAAAUAAAGUUUAAGGAACAUAGGCCUAAAUCUGUCAGCAUGAAAUUCUGGAGACAUGCAGAAGAAACUUCAGCAGCUGGAGCUCCUCUCCUGUAUUCCUUCCUUAUUGAAAUUCUCUCCCUCUCUUCUCAUCCACCGUUGGCAUUACAGGAUUAUUGGGUCUUAUAUUCAUCUGUUUCUAAAAAGUUUAAACUGUCCUCUGGAAAAGGCCACCGCGCCCCAGAGGAGGAACCAAUCCUGUUUCAACUCGCUUUCUCUUCUUCCUUCCCUCCCCACUCCAAGAAAAGACCCACAUGCGUUCUGGGGAAACUCUUGCAGGUUGAUAAGCCCCAGCAGCUCUGCCUGCAGAGCGCAGGAGGACGUGAGUGAUAAACACUGGAGAUGUUCUAUUCAGGUCUCUGUGGGCACAGUCAGGAGGGCUGCAAGGUUUACCGUGUGAUGGGUAAAGGUAAAGGUACCCCUGACCCUUAGGUCCAGUCGCAGCCGACUCUGGGGUUGCACGCUCUAUAGGCUGAGUGAGCCGGCAUUUAUCCACAGACAGCUUCCGGGUCAUGUGGCCAGCAUGACUAAGCCGCUUCUGGCAAAACCAGAGCAGCGCACGGAAACACCGUUUACCUUCCCAUCAGAGCGGUACCUAUUUAUCUACUUGCACUUUGAUGUGCUUUCGAACUUCUAGGUGGGCAGGAGCUGGGACAGAGCAACGGGAGCUCAGCCCGUCGCGGGGAUUCGAACUGCCGACCUUCUUAUCAGCAAGCCCUAAGCUCUGUGGUUUAGACCACAGUGCCACCCGCAUCCCUUUACCGUGUGAUAUCAUUGCUCAAAUGUUAGCCCCACAGAAUGCAGUGGAACCUACUUCCAAGUGAUCAGUUUUAAGUUUCCAACCUUAACUCUUAUAAUCGGAUCAUUCAUUUUUUAAAAAAAUCCCACCCUAAAUCAUCUAGAAAGGUGUCCCAAUGAAUAGGACAAUUCAAGAAAGAAAACAUAUCAAAACUUUCAGUUUAAUAUGUUGUGUUAAGGAGUUUCCAUCUACACAGUAUCAUAAAACCAUAGAGUUGGAAGGUACCCUUAGGAUCAUCUAGUCCAACCCCCUGCAAUGCAGGAGUCACAGCUAAAGAAUCCCUGACAGAUGACCAUCCAACCUCUUCUUAAAAACCCGUAAUGAAGAAGAGUCCACCACCUUCUGAUGUUAUCUGUUCCACUCUCAAGCAGCUUUUACCUCCAGAAAGUUAUUCCUUUUUUCUUCUUUUUUUAAAUUGGUUUUCACAUAUUACAUUACAAUACAAAUGUACCAAAGCCAACACCAUUUCCUCCCCAUCCCACCAUACAUUUACAUUUCUAUUUCCUCAAUCCAUCAUAUUAUUCUUUUCUCCUUCCUCCCACUUCCCCCAGCCCCCACUCGAUUUCCUCCACAUUAUACAAUUUACAAUAAUCUUUGCAUUCUAUAACCGUCUCAAAUUAUCUAUAUAUUAUUAUUAUCUUUCCUUACUAAUUUUUCUUCUAUCCAGUACUUCACAUUUUAAUCUAGGCAUAUUAGCAUAUCUUUUUUGAGCAAUAUUUUGCCAUAUAUUCAUCAAAACAUUCCCACUCCUUUUUUAAUUUUUGAUUUGACUGAUUUCUUAUUAUUGUCACGGCUAAAAUGGCCGCUGUUUCUUUAAUGCGAAUAAAGCUGGGUCAGCAUGAGUCAGUGACCUGCACCAGGUUGUAUAUAUAGAAUGAGAAAUGUUAGUUUGUUGUGGGGUUGGUUGGUUGAUUAGUGAAAGCUGGUAGUGUUGUUGUAUGUCAGUCACUUUUGCACAAAGACUUUUAAGAAUAAAAGCAGAAAGCACUCUGCAAGGAUAUUCUUGUGGACUCUUUUAUGCAGACAAGGGUCUGAGGACCAGGCUGAGGAGACAAAGGGAGGUCAGAACCCUUUUCCUUUUUUUUUUUUACAAACACUGACAGGUUAUGGGCCCAGUGUUUCUGAGCAUGUGCAGAGUGCAAAACGACUAACAGCAUCUCAGCAGGGAGCUGGUAAGUCCUGGUGCUGUACGGAGCCAGUGGCUGUGCGUUGGAGCAGUUGGUGGCAAGCUGUAACUGUCUGCAGUAUCGCUGGAGCGGCCAGGAUCUGAGGAUCAGGAAAGCACUCAGCGUCGGCUACUGGAACAGUUUGAACUGCUAGAGGACCACAGUAGGCGACUCACAGAGCGGCUACACCAGUUGCAGAGCCAGGUGGGACCUGAGGGUCAACAGAGGCAGCAGCUAGAAGCCAGUGAGUGCCAGCCAGGACUGUCCUGUCAGACUCUAAAGAGAGAGUCAGGAGAGAUUGCCAGAGGCCCCACAGAAGGGGCUCAGCAAGCACCAGCAAAGAUGGCAGAUUUCCAGUCUUCCCAAGUUGUAAAUAUUGGGGGAGGCAUCCCUUUUGAACUUCUCUCAGAGAGCAACUGGCUGAGUUGGUCAAUUAAAAUGCAGCAGUUGUUAAGGAGAGAUGGACUGUGGGACUGUAUUGAAACUGAGGUUUUGAGACGGGACUCUGCUGAGAAAAGACGGCUGGGUGAAAGGGCUCAUGCCCAAAUUAUGCUGUGUUUGAGCAACUCUCAGUUAUUGCAUGUAGCAAAUGCCAGUACAGCGUUUGAGUGCUGGAAUUUAUUAAGGGCAAUGCAUGUCAGAUAAACUGCUGGAACUAUAAUUUCUCUGACCAGAAGGCUGUUCAGGACUGUUAUGAAAGAAGGCGAGAGUUUGGCAGCUCAUCUUCAAACGCUGAAAUCUCUGUUUCUUCAACUACAGCAGAGAGGUAAGCGUUAUGAUGAAGCUGACCAAACCUAAAUUAUCCUUUCAAGUUUGCCUGAAAGCUGGUUGCCUGUGAUUAACAGCAUGGAGAGUAUGCGUCCCCAAGAUCUGACCCUUGAGUAUGUGGUGGUUGGAAGAUUAACCGAAGAAGCAGAAAGAAGGUCAGAUAGACAGGCUGAACUCCAAGAGCAGAGGAGUUACAGUCGAGGGGGCCAGCAGCAGAAUCUGCCAAUGGAGCAAUGCCAAGGUUUGGACUUGGCCAUGGCGGUGAGGAGGUGCUAUAGAUGCAACCAACCCGGGCAUCUCCAAAGUCAAUGCAGGGCAAGACUCCCAGGAGACGACGUGAAGCAGAGACAGCAAUCGACGCAGAAACGUAAGCAGAAGGGGUUCUCUUCAGGGAAGAAGAACACAUGUUCUGCUCAGUUUGUGUCUGCAUUUUCUUGAGAGGAGAGGAAGAUGCCUCGAGGAACAUGGUUGCUGGACUCUGGGAGCAGCAGGAUUAUCUGCAACAGUCAGGAGGACUUUAAGACCCUGGGGAAGCCAGCCGAUGGAAAAGACUCAAUCUAUCUUGCUGGUGGUCGUAGAAGCAAGAUUGAUGGCCAGGGAACAUGUUUCCUGCAGUGCUUGAACACUACUCUACCAGAGACUCUGUUUGUCAGCAGUUUGGACUAUUGUUUACUGUCUGUAAGCUGUUUGAUUAAUGCAGGGUAUAGUGUUAAGUUCACACAGGAUGGUUGUCUGAUAAAGAAUGAAACUCAGGUAUGUGGCCAUGCAAAGAUGGAAAAUGGGUUGUAUGUAAUGCAGGACAAGCCUGUUAAGCAGCUCAGGUGGUUCAGGAUAAUUUGCCAGUUCAUAAGGGGUGUGUACAUGAACUGCACAGGGAACUGGGUCACAAAAGUUUUUGUGUGCUUUCAGAGAUGCAAAAGGUGUGCAAGAACCUAAAAGUAAAUAGAUGUAACUGUUUCUUAGAUUGCAAUGUAUGUAAAAUGGCCAAAUCUAAGAGGAAGCCUGUGGCUUCUAAAAGUGACAGAGUAUCUAAAGAGGUUUUAGAACUUGUCCAUUGUGACGUGAUAGGUCCUUUUCCACAGAAGACUGAAGGGGGCGUCAGAUAUGCUUUUCUGGUAAUAGAUGAUAAAUCACACGCAAUUCUGCACUAAUUCUACACUUGUGCACAAUUCACUGGUUCACCUUUAAUUAAAUCUCCCUCUUUCUAAGAGGUUCCCAGCGAUAAGGGUCCAGCCUCAUACCGAAAAGUAACCGGGUCUUUAGUGGCUUGCAUCUAGUGUAGGUAGUACUGAACUAGCUCCGUGGUUCUUCGCUAAAGUCAGUUUAGAUAAUACUGUACUAGCUUCUUUGUCCCCUGUACCCAGUGUGGUUGAUACCGAUACUGAAGUAGCUGGUACGCUUUUAUGUUUUUUCUUCUUGUCUUCACAGUAGGGGUCCUUGGGGGGGGGGUAGCCAGUGUGGGCAAUACCGAACUAGCUGUAGGGUUGUGUACUUUAAAAGGUUGAAUUAAUCCGUCUCUCAAAUAAUAGGAUGGCGUCUGGAGGAAAUCAACAGUCCUCUGCCCCGGGCAAUGGCGGGGCACAGCUGCCCGCCAUGCCUUGUGAUCCCCAAGCGUUUGCUCGAUUUUUCGCUGCUUUUGAAACCUUCUAUAGACAAUGUAGGCCGAGGGUUCUUGCACUUCCAGCGCCAGAAGCUUCACAGGAGGGCACUUCCGCCCGGUUUCGAAUCUUCCAUUCCUGGGUAAGGUGAUUGAGAGAGCGGUUGCUGAACAGCUUGGUAGGUUUCUGGAUGAAACAUCGGCUCCGGAUCCAUUCCAGUCCGGCUUCUGCGCUGGUCAUGGGACCGAGACGGCUCUGGUCGCCCUAACAGAUGAUCUCCGCAGGCAGCUGGAUCGAGGCGGGUCGGGGCUGCUGAUUCUUCUAGACCUGUCAGCAGCCUUCGACAUGGUCGAUCACGAACUCCUGGACCACCGCCUUGCCGACGUGGGGAUCCAGGGCACAGUCCUUCAAUGGCUGCACUCGUUUCUCUCUGGUCGGGGACAGAGGGUGGCGCUUGGGGGGGAAUUGUCAUCGCGCCACUCCUUGGUGUGUGGAGUGCCUCAGGGUGCGAUUCUCUCCCCGAUGCUUUUUAACAUCUUUAUGCGCCCCCUCACCCAGCUUGUCCAGAGUUUUGGGCUGGGUUGCCAUCAGUAUGCCGAUGACACCCAACUCUAUCUGUUGAUGGAUGGCCAUCCUGACUCGGCCCCAGACACACUGACCAGAUGUCUGGAAGCUGUGGCUGGAUGGUUACGUGGGAGCCGGUUGAAGUUAAAUCCCUCAAAGACAGAGGUCCUCUGGCUGGGAUGGGGCGAUAUGGGAUUGAGGGGCAACUCCCAUCUCUUGCGGGGUGCAAUUAGUGCCAGCAUCGUCCGUUAAGAGUUUGGGUGUAAUCUUCGAUACCUCCCUCUCUAUGGAGGCGCAGAUUACAGCUAUAACAAAGGCUGCAUUUUUUCAUCUCCGCCAAGCUAAGCAGCUGGCUCCUUAUCUCUCUCGCCCUGACCUAGCCACUGUGAUCCAUGCGACGGUCACCUCCAGGCUUGACUAUUGUAUCUCGCUCUACGUGGGGCUGCCCUUGAGACUGACCCAGAAACUCCAGCGAGUGCAGAAUGCCGCGGCGAGACUCCUUAGGGGGUCUUCGCUGCGAGAUCAUAUUCAUCCAGUACUAUACCAGCUGCACUGGCUCCCGGUGGAGUACAGGAUCAGGUUUAAGGUGCUGGUUUUAACCUUUAAAGCCUUUACGGCCUAGGACCCUCGUACCUACGGGACCGCCUCUCCUGGUAUGUCCCACAGAGAAAUUUACGGUCUGCAAAUAAAAACAUCCUGAAGAUCCCAGGCCACAGAGAGGUUAGGCUGGCCUCAACUAGAGCCAGGGCUUUCUCGGCCGCGGCUCCAAUCUGGUGGAACGCUCUGUCACAAGAGACUAGGGCCCUGCGGGACCUGACAUCUUUCCGCAGGGCCUGCAAGACAGAGUUGUUCCACCAGGCCUUUGGUCAGGGCGCAGCCUGACCCCCUCCUCUGGCAAUCUGCACAGAAUUUUGCUUAAUGGUUGCCAUCAAUUUGAUUUUAAUUUGAUUUUAAUUAAUUUUAUAAUGAAUGUUUUUAGAAUGUUGGAUUAUUUUGAUUGUUGUUAGCCGCCCUGAGCCCAGCUUCGGCUGGGGAGGGCGGGAUAUAAAUAAAAUUUAUUAUUAUUAUUAUUAUUAUUCCGGGCAGCCAGGAGGAACCGGGCACAUCGGCGUCUAUGUCGGGUGGGGCUCAACUUGAGAGCACCACAGCCGGACGCCCCAACACACGCUCCCAGUCAUCUAAUUCUGGGAAACUCACCUCGGGAGCCGGUAAAGGUAAGGCACCCGCAAAGAGUGCCAACAAGGGUAAGGCGUCUGCAAAGGCGGCCAAUAGCAAAUCCAUUUCUCAGGUUGCAGACAUCCCUAGAAUUUUUCAGGAGCAGCCGCCUCAACACAGUUCAACAGAGGGCGGCUCGGGUUCCUGCUCCGAAGCAGAGCAACCGGUAUCUCAGAUAGCCCCAUCAGUUGCCAAUUUGAACCUGGCUUUAACUUAUGACGAGAAUUUUCGUAGAAAUGCUUCUCUCCUACCCUCCACCCGCUGGGACCUAAGGCAUCCAAAUUACCGGGGCGAGGACAUUGGCCCUUACAUAGAAAAGAAGCACCAGGAACCGGGCAAGUCGGGUAAGACAGAAGCAAAACGCCGCCGCCAGUGCUGGGAAUACAACAGGGGUACAUGUUUGCGACCUUCCUGUAAGUAUCUCCAUGAAUGUGAACGCUGCCUUGGGAACCACCCGGCCACAGCAUGCCUUAAGGGUAGGCAGCAGCCCUUUCAGGGUGGCAGGGGUACUUCAACAACAAUGCUAGAUGUGUCCCCGGAUCCUCUCACCCGGGACCCAGUAACCGCCAGUAACUUGUCUCUUGGACUGGCCUUCUCCCCUAUCCGACUCCAUCCCCUUAAAACCCUACUAGACCUAUACCCUGAUAGAAAAGCCGCUAAAUACCCUUGGGACGGGUUCUCCAUUGGUUUUAGAAUUCCAGUAGCAUUUCCCCCUAACACUGGGAAUCCCAAAAACCAGAAAUCCGUAAGAGAAAUGCCUGAGAUAGCUAGAAAGAAGAUAAAGAAAGAAAUCGAGGCUGGUAGGGUUGCAGGUCCCUUUACCGAGCCCCCCCCAGAGGGUCUGCACAUAUCCCCUCUGGGCAUCGUCCCAAAAAAGGCACCGGGUGAGUUUCGCAUGAUUCUCAACCUCUCUUACCCAAGAGGUGGCUCUGUCAAUGAUGUGAUACCUCAGGAACUUUGUACUGUGAAAUACGCCUCCUUUGACCAGGCAGUAAAAAUGAUUCGCAGAUUUGGAAAAGGAGCACUUCUUGCAAAAUGCGACAUAGAGUCCGCAUUCCGCCUCCUGCCCGUGCAUCCAAAAGAUUUCCGUUGGUUGGGUUUUUGUUUUGAAGGGGCGUAUUUCAUUGACAAAGCAAUGCCCAUGGGAUGCUCCAUCACAUGCUCUGCAUUCGAGUCUUUCAGUACGUUUCUGGAUUGGGCCCUGCGUUUCAGGACAGGGUCGGUCGGAGCGUCGUAUUACCUGGAUGACUUUAUUCUGGUCGCAGAUAAUAGACAGUGAUGCUCUGCCCUUCUGGAAGCAUUCACAACCCUGGCGGAGGAACUAGGUGUACCACUGGCUUCGGACAAAACGCAGGCCCAGCCACAUCGCUGGUCUAUCUGGGCAUUGAGUUAGACACUGUAGCCCAAACUUCAAGGCUACCUGAGGGGAAACUGGUCACCCUUAAGGCAUUGAUUCAACAGCUCCUGCCCCUAAAGAAGGUUACCCUUAGGCAAAUUCAAUCUCUGUUAGGUCACUUAAAUUUUGCUUGUAGGGUGGUGGCGCCGGGCCGGCCCUUUUGCAGCUGCCUGGCCAGAUUGUCAGCAGGCCUUCGGGCACCUCAGCAUAGGGUGCGCCUCUCCAAGGAGGUAGUCUGACCUGGGAGUCUGGCUAGAAUUCCUGGACAGGUAUAACAGUAUAUCCUUAUGGUAAGACACCAUGGCGCUCAAUGCAGACUUGCAAGUCCAAUCCGAAGCGGCAGGUUCCCUGGGGUUUGGUGUUUAUUUCAGGGGACAGUGGUGCACUCAAAGAUGGCCCGCAGACUGGCAGGGCAAGCCCAUUACUCGGGACCUUACAUUUUUGGAAUUUUUCCCUAUUGUAGUGGCAGUACACUUAUGGGCGGGACAGUUUCGCAAUCAUAGGGUUUGUUUCAAUACAGAUAACCAGGCAGUAGUAUCGGUUCUUUCUAGACAGUCCGCACGUUCCACCAGGGUGGGAAACCUUUUACGGUCCUUCGUCCUCUUGUGCCUUGAGCAGAAUAUCUAUUUUCCUGCCAAAUUCAUUCCCGGCGUUAAUAAUGACAUCGCGGAUGCUCUGUUUCGUUUUCAGAUGGAUCGCUUCUGCUCAUUAGCGCCGGAUGCUCAACAGUCGCCACUGCCUUUCCCGGAGCAUCUCUGGAGCCUUGGGAGUGAGAAGUGAUGAAGGGAGUAUUGGGUGCAGUCACCCCUUCCACAAUGAGAUCUUAUAAAAAAGCUUGGGCCGACUUCUUAAGGUUUCGCAACAGUAUACCCAGCACGAGGCAGGAUUCCCCUCCUUCAACGAGGGAGGUCCUCCGCUACUUAGUUCACCUGAAGGAAUUGGGCAGGGCACCAAAGACCCUUAACAUCCAGUCCGCAGGGAUUUAUUUCUUUUGUAAAGCCCUGUUCUCUACCGACCCGUGUGCUGAUUUCGCGGUGCGUAAGGCUUUAGAGGGCUGGCGCAGACUCCAGCCCCCCAGUGCUGACAAGAGGAGGCCCAUAACUUAUGAAAUUCUGACCCAGAUACACAAAAGGUUAAGAACUAAAUGCUGGCCAAAAUAUGAAGCCCGCCUAUUCUCAGCCGCCUAUUCCAUUGCCUUCUUCGGUGCUCUCCGCAUAGGCGAGGUAGUAUGUGAGGGGGGCGGCCCCCCGCCAGAGGGGCAUCCUCAUAAGCGACUUGACCCUUUCCAGCACUGACCUAAUCAUGCAAGUGCGGAGCUCUAAGACAGACCAGCAUGGUAGGGGGGCCCUCCUUCGCUUACCAGUGGCUUCAGGGAGCGGACCUUGCCCGGUUAGGGAUACUCGGCGUUUCUUUUAUCUGAGACCUAACAACCCCGGCCCUUUCUUAAUACAUGCGGAUGGCUCACUCUUAGCCAGUCACCAGUUUACCCGUGUUAUGCGCCUGGCACUUGCAGCAUGCGGGCUGCCUGCAGCAGAAUUUGCGGCUCACUCCUUCCGGAUCGGGGCUGCUACCACUGCAGUACACCUCGGGCUCUCGACCAAGAGGAUAAAGGACAUGGGUCGGUGGAAGUCCGAUGCUUACAAAGCCUAUGUUAGAAAGAAUCUGUGACUAGCUAUUUGUUUCCUGACCUCGGUUUGUCUUUCCAUUUCCUUUCCAGGACGCAAGACGGUUCGCAUUUGGUUGGUGGGCCACAGCAUUGUGCAUUGGGCAAAGAAUCGAGCCAUGAGCACUGGAUUGGGGCAAAGCUUGAAUUUACCUCCAAAUGUUGAUGUGGCUUGGAUUGCGCGAAGAGGGAUGCGCUGGGCUGAAUUCAAGCCUGCUGUGAUGGCUAGAGCCGCCUCGGAGGGCCCACCUGAUGCCCUGGUUAUCCAGUUGGGGGAGAAUGAUCUAGCAUACCGAAAAGCUAUAGACUUAAGAUGGAACAUUUUUGAUGACUUUGCCGAUUUAAUGGCUGUUUAUCCCAACAUUACCAUCUUGUGGUCCUCACUGCUUGAAAGGCGGAUAUGGAGGGAUAGCUUGUGCCCGGUUUCAAUCAAUAGAGCAAGAAAAGUUUUGGAGCGGGCUGUGGCAGGUAGAGUGGCGGCUCUGGGAGGGUGUGUCAUAAGCCACCCCGGCAUCCAGUACAGCAAGGAGGCCCUCUACAGGCUUGAUGGCAUGCAUCUGUCAGAUGCUGGAAACGACAUUUGGUUGGGGGACAUCAUAGCAGGGAUUAGGGAUUGGUUACAGGUUUGAAGGUAUUGGCGGCGAGCUUCGCUCGAGUGGCGGUUAAGCAUUGGCAGGGGUUAUUGUUAUGUAAAUGAAGGGGGAAGGAAGCACCAUCACCUUCCCCCAAUGAAAAGGGUAGUCCGGUAGAGGACUCCGGGGGGCGUUGCCCUGUCCGAAAACUAGGGAGGUGAGGGCCUAAGGCAUGGCCCCGAGUGGUGACACCCGGGAAGUCCUAGUUGGCGUACUUCAGCAGGACUCCCCCGGCUGGUGGUUAACCCUUCCCGGGCUCCAUGCAAGGUAGUCGAUAGGAGCCAAUGCCUAAGGCCAAUACCUUUCAAUUCCUGUAAUCAAUAAAGUUGUGGCCUUUUACGCCCAUUAACCUUAAAUAAUGUGACCAGAGUCUUCAUUUCACAAGGGGGGAGGGGACUUGCCACGCAAAUCACAUUUUAGUUUGUUGUUUUUGUUAAAGCAGAAAUCUGAGUAUUUCCCCACAUUCAGAGAAUAGGUUGCCCAAGCUGAAAAGCUCUUCGCUCGCCCUGUUGUGCAGUUGCAAACAGAUAGGGGCGGAGAAUUUCUGAACAAACAAUUUGGGGCAUGGUUGCGACGUAAGGGGAUCACUCAUCGUUUGACUAACCCUUAUAGCCCUGCUGAAAAUGGUCUGUGUGAAAGACGUGGGGCUGUAAUACAGUCAGUAAAGGACUGCCUGCUACUGGAUGCAGGAUUGGGCCACAACCAUAGGCUGUGGGGCGAGGCUCUCCUUGUUGGGAUACUGCCAGGGAGAUAAAGUCCAUCAUGGCCUCCAAGCCGGCUGCCGGACGAUCCAUCGAUCUCCCGUAGUCACGCAGUAUCAACAAUUAGUGACAUGAGUUUCUAGAAAUAGCUUGCCACAUUCCAGAGCUCAUGCACACUCUAUCAGCAGAUAAUGCACAGCCAAAGUCGCACUCAGGAGAGCAUUCUUUACAAAUUUAUUCAGCGUUGAUCAGAACACAGAAAAACAUGACUGCCUGCUUUAGUGUCUACGACACAGAGAGAAAACGAAAGCAACAGAAAACAUAAACAUCCUGUGAACAGAAAAUACGCAGACUCUGACUCACAAAGCCUGCUCCCUUUUAAGGUGGAACGGAAAUAUCCUAACAUCCUCCCCCUUUCCGUGUAACCUGUAGUACCUGUGGUUCAACCCAAUUGCAACCUUUGUACAUAAACCUUAAGUUGUUCUCUGUUAACAACCUUAGACAACAGAUCAGCAGGAAUUUCAUUUCCUGGCAUGUAGGACACCUGAAUGAGUCCUUUCUGAAUACACUCUCUUGCACGAUGUAGCUUAAUCUGCAAGUACUUGGUCCUUUGCUUGCAACUCUCUGAGUUCAGCAAAGCCAAACACGAUCUAUUGUCUUGAUACACUUGUACAGGACAUUUCACAGAAACUCUGAUGUCCUUAAACAGUUGCAUCAACCAUUCACAAUCCAUGAGUGAAAAUGACAGAGCAUUGAGUUCUGCUUCACAGGAACUUAGGCUCACUGUUGUCUGCUUUUUGCACAACCAGUCAAACAGGCAGCGGUUGUACAUGUAGCAUACUCCAGAAGUGCUUGUACCAUCCGUGGUGUCACUUCCAAAACUUGCAUCUGCAAAGAUUUCAAGACCUCCAGUCUUCUGACUGGUGAACCUCAGCCUGUAGUGCAUAGUCCCUUUCAGAUAGCGGGCUAUGCGCUUCAGAGCUUUCCAAUCCUGAACAGUAGGAUUGUUGGCAUGUCUGCUAAGCAGGUUAGUGCUUACAGCUAUGUCAGGUCUUGAGCAUCUAGCAAUGAAAUUCAACUUGCCUAGAAUGCAUCUGUACAGCGUAGUGUCAGAAAACGCUUCAGCAGUACUGUCUACCUGGUAACCUGUCACCAUCGGUGUGUCUGCUGGGUUUGCAUCAACCAAAUUCAACCUGGUUAAUACAUCAGCAAUUUUCUGUGUUUGGUGUACCAGAAAAUUACCUGCUUGGUCCCUCUCCACCUGCAGAGAGAGAUAGUUGGAUACCUCACCAAGAUCCUUCAUGUCAAAGUGCUCCUUCAGCUGAGCUAGGGUGCUUUGGUACAAAGCCUGAUUCUUCCAAAACAUCAGAAGAUCAUCAACAAAACAUAAACAAUACAGUUUGUUUUGCCCCUCCUCCUUGACAAACACACAUGGAUCAGCUUUGCCCUGGUGAAAACCUAGAGAAGCAACGUCUCAGUGAGCUUUGUGUUCCAACACCUGGCACUCUGCUUGAGACCAUAUAAGGAUUUCCGCAGUUUACAGACCAUUCCCUUCUGUAUCUGCAUCCCAUCAGGUGGAAGCAUAAACAGCUCCUCCCCCAGAAUCCCGUACAAAAAAGCUGUAUUAAUGUCAUGAUGGGAAACAUGCAGUUUCUCCUCUGCAGCUAUAUUGAGCAUCAGCCGAAUGCUCUCAUAUUUGACGGUGGGUGAGUAGGUCUCGUGGUAAUCCUGUCCUGGUACCUGUGAAAAACCUCUGGCAACCAAUCUGGCUUUGUGUCUGACAACCUUGCCAUUCUGGUCUGUCUUGGCCUUGAAGACCCAUUUGCUGCCAACCAGUCUCAUCCCUGGGACUACCGGUACCAGCUCCCAAGUUUGGUUCCUAUUCAAGGAAUCAACUUCAGCCUUCAUGGCAUUAAGCCAAGGCUCAGCAUCUUUAGAGGUUAACUCCUGAACCUCUUUGAAGCUUGAAGGUUCCCACACCUUCUCUGAGCUACUAAGAACAGCAGUUGCUGUCUUAGCAAACUCAUCAGCAAAUCUCUUUGGAGGUCUGCCCUUGGUGGCUCUUUCAGAUCUGCGUAUUAGACGCAAGUCUUCUGGACUCAUCUCCUCUUUCUUAGGAGAAAAGUGACCAAUGGUGAUCAGUGGUUCUUCCAGUUCAUUGUCAGACGCAUCAGAUGGUCUGACUGAGGCCUUUGCGCUCUUGUAGUCUGCUGUGUCAUCACUGUCACUGACACCAGCAGCAGCGCCACCCACUGAACUGGAAUCCGAACUCUGAUCAUCAUCAUCAACAUCAUCAUCAUCCUCAGCUUCCUCAACUUUAGCUGCUUCUUUGACAUCACCUUCAUCCUCCUCUGGGUAACUCUGGAAAAUUCUCACAUUUCCCCCCCCCCUUAGGAUUGUACUCAACACUCUUUGUGAACUUAAUGGACUUAGAGUCAGUCAUCCAUACCCUGUAUGCACCUUUUUCGUACCCCAUGAACAAACCAUGUGGCCCAAGCUUCCCAAGCUUGUUGCUUUGUGGGGUGUGUACCCACAUGUCAGAACCAAAGAUUCUCAUGUGCUUGAUGUUGGGUUUCUUACCAAACAUCUUCUCAUAGGGGGUACAACCAAUAGGUGAUGACAAUCUGCGAUUAAAAGUGUAAACAAAAUUUGACAGAGCCUCCCCCCCAAAACUUCUCAGGGAGAUUGGCAUCAUGCAACAAUGUUUUCAUUCCUUGCAGCAACGUUUGAUUUGCUCGCUCCGCAAGCCCAUUCAUCCAUGGCGAUCUAGGUGUUGACAAGUCAUGCUGGAUUCCCUUCUCAGUCAGGAAAGCUUCAAACUGCUGAGAAGUGAACUCCCCGCCUCGAUCAGUAAACAGACAGCCAAUGCGUUUACCGUGAACAUUCUCCAACCAAGCACAGAAUGCCUUGAACUUAGGAAACGCUUGCGAUUUCUGCUCGAGCAUAAACACAUGAAUGUACCUGGAAAAAGAAUCAAUUAUAACCAUGAAGUACCUUGCUUCACCCAAUGAGGGCGCAAGUGGACCAACCAGGUCUGCGUGCACUAGCUGGUAGGGUUUGGAAGCCUGCCUGCUAGACUCCUUGCCUUUUGGAGCAACCUUCACCUUGUUCUCUGCACAAGAUACACAUUUCAUGUGAAACUUACAGGGUUUGAUGUUCAAACCCUCAACCAUCUCUGGCAUCUUGGCCAGCGCCUGCCAAGAGAGGUGACAAAACCUCCUGUGUGCAUCGUGAAUGCAUCCUGCAUGAAGAACUUUGUUAGUUUGUGCAACACAACAAGAAUCAGCAUUAGACACAACAGCACCAUUGUCGUCAUAAGUUAUACAGAACAAGCCAUCCAUAAACUUUGCAUGCAAAAUGUCCUCUUUGCCUUUUCUGAUGACACAGACGCUCCUUUUGAAGGAACUCUCAAAACCACGCCCAGUCAGCUGUGGGACACUGAGCAAAUUGUCUGCAGCACCUGGAACAUAUAGUACAUCUUUGAUGGUAGUGUGCAGACUUGCCAGUUUAACAGUCCCUUCUCCUGCAAUUCGCAACGUCUUUCCAUCAGCCAGGUGGAUCUCACCUUCUUGAGGCUUGAAGGAGAUAAAGAGAUGGCGGUCUUUCGACACAUGGCGGGUACACCCUGAAUCAACAACAAACCUGGCUUUGGCCUUUGGAGCAGCCUUUGCAGCAAGCAAAACCUUGUUUUCCACCGGCGUGGGCUUUUGCAGCUUGCCCCCCUGCUCUUGGCCAUCAGACUUGCCUUUAGCCUUUGGUGAAGCUGUGCCAGCAAACAAAACCUUGUUUUCCACUGGCGUGGGCUUUUGCAGCUUGCCCCCCUGCUCCUGGCCAUCAGACUUGCCUUUAGCCUUUGGUGAAGCUGUGCCAGCAAACAAAACCUUGUUUUCCACUGGCGUGGGCUUUUGCAGCUUGCCCCCCUGCUCCUGGCCAUCAGACUUGCCUUUAGCCUUUGGUGAAGUUGUGCCAGCAAACAAUGCCUUGUUUUUCUCUGGCGUGGGCUCUUCACCCUCCCUCUGCUUCUGGCCAUCUGCAGGCGUCUGCCUCUGUUUACCUUUGCCCUUCCGGCCUCUGCAAAGGCGAUGACCUUGGCUCCCAUGAGAAACAGAGCUCUCAGCUGCCGACUCCUUGGCUCCCCUGGAGGCUGGAAUGCUGCCUGGGAUGACGUGACAGUCAGCUCCCCUGCAGCUUGCAACCGGUGCCCUCGGCAUCCCUGCAUUCACUCGCAUUCUGGGAAACAGCCAGGACCUCCAAUGCAGUCAAACUCUGGGCUGGGAUGACUGGCAAAUGGGCUAUCUUCAAAGCAUGCCACAUCUUACGUGCAGUGGUGUUGCCAGCAAGCGUUUUAUUUCCUCCAGAGAGACGGACAAGACUAUUAUGUCUAUCGCCUUCGAAUUUUCGGCCUUCCAUCUCUCUGUCAGAGGAACUGGAGGGGCCUCACACACAGUAUGCCACACUCCAAACUGACACAGCAAGCUCUCACACCACACAGCCCAGGUCCCAUAAUUGUGCCGAUUUAGCUUUGGACACUCAGCAGCCUCAGAAGCUUGGAAAAACUCCAUUCCAGGUUUCUACUUGAGCCGUGAGCCUUUAUGCCUUCAAAAACGUCUUAUCUCGGCAGCCAUAAAUCUUGAGGCCUUUGGCGCGGCUCCCAGAUCCAUUAAUUUGCCGGAGUUCAAAGGCCCUUGCCGUGGCAAACAGAAAAGCCUCACUUUCGCUUUUCUUCCACAUACCUUUCAGCAGUCUGUCGCAGUCUUACUCUCCUGUAAGUGCUGUGAAUCUGGGCCCGAAACCUGUUGUUGGAAUACUGCCAGGGAGAUAAAGUCCAUCAUGGCCCCCAGGCCGUCUGCCGGACGAUCCAUCGACCUCCCGUAGGCACGCAGCGACAUGAGUUUCUAGAAAAUAUCUUGCCACAUUCCAGAGCUCAUGCACGCUCUAUCAGCAGAUAAUGCACAGCCAAAAGUUGCAAUCAGGAGAGCAUUAUUUACAAGUUUAUUCAGCGUUGAUCAGAACACAGAAAAACAUGACUGCCUGCUUUAGUGUCUACGACACAGAGAGAAAACGAAAGCAACAGAAAACAUAAACAUCCUGUGAACAGAAAAUACGCAGACUCUGACUCACAAAGCCUGCUCCUUUUAAGGUGGAACGGAAAUAUCCUAACAUCCUCCCCUUUCCGUGUAACCUGUAGUACCUGUGGUUCAACCCAAUUGCAACCUUUGUACAUAAACCUUAAGUUGUUCUCUGUUAACAACCUUAGACAACAGAUCAGCAGGAAUUUCAUUUCCUGGCAUGUAGGACACCUGAAUGAGUCCUUUCUGAAUACACUCUCUUGCACGAUGUAGCUUAAUCUGCAAGUACUUGGUCCUUUGCUUGCAACUCUCUGAGUUCAGCAAAGCCAAACACGAUCUAUUGUCUUGAUACACUUGUACAGGACAUUUCACAGAAACUCUGAUGUCCUUAAACAGUUGCAUCAACCAUUCACAAUCCAUGAGUGAAAAUGACAGAGCAUUGAGUUCUGCUUCACAGGAACUUAGGCUCACUGUUGUCUGCUUUUUGCACAACCAGUCAAACAGGCAGCGGUUGUACAUGUAGCAUACUCCAGAAGUGCUUGUACCAUCCGUGGUGUCACUUCCAAAACUUGCAUCUGCAAAGAUUUCAAGACCUCCAGUCUUCUGACUGGUGAACCUCAGCCUGUAGUGCAUAGUCCCUUUCAGAUAGCGGGCUAUGCGCUUCAGAGCUUUCCAAUCCUGAACAGUAGGAUUGUUGGCAUGUCUGCUAAGCAGGUUAGUGCUUACAGCUAUGUCAGGUCUUGAGCAUCUAGCAAUGAAAUUCAACUUGCCUAGAAUGCAUCUGUACAGCGUAGUGUCAGAAAACGCUUCAGCAGUACUGUCUACCUGGUAACCUGUCACCAUCGGUGUGUCUGCUGGGUUUGCAUCAACCAAAUUCAACCUGGUUAAUACAUCAGCAAUUUUCUGUGUUUGGUGUACCAGAAAAUUACCUGCUUGGUCCCUCUCCACCUGCAGAGAGAGAUAGUUGGAUACCUCACCAAGAUCCUUCAUGUCAAAGUGCUCCUUCAGCUGAGCUAGGGUGCUUUGGUACAAAGCCUGAUUCUUCCAAAACAUCAGAAGAUCAUCAACAAAACAUAAACAAUACAGUUUGUUUUGCCCCUCCUCCUUGACAAACACACAUGGAUCAGCUUUGCCCUGGUGAAAACCUAGAGAAGCAACGUCUCAGUGAGCUUUGUGUUCCAACACCUGGCACUCUGCUUGAGACCAUAUAAGGAUUUCCGCAGUUUACAGACCAUUCCCUUCUGUAUCUGCAUCCCAUCAGGUGGAAGCAUAAACAGCUCCUCCCCCAGAAUCCCGUACAAAAAGCUGUAUUAAUGUCAUGAUGGGAAACAUGCAGUUUCUCCUCUGCAGCUAUAUUGAGCAUCAGCCGAAUGCUCUCAUAUUUGACGGUGGGUGAGUAGGUCUCGUGGUAAUCCUGUCCUGGUACCUGUGAAAAACCUCUGGCAACCAAUCUGGCUUUGUGUCUGACAACCUUGCCAUUCUGGUCUGUCUUGGCCUUGAAGACCCAUUUGCUGCCAACCAGUCUCAUCCCUGGGACUACCGGUACCAGCUCCCAAGUUUGGUUCCUAUUCAAGGAAUCAACUUCAGCCUUCAUGGCAUUAAGCCAAGGCUCAGCAUCUUUAGAGGUUAACUCCUGAACCUCUUUGAAGCUUGAAGGUUCCCACACCUUCUCUGAGCUACUAAGAACAGCAGUUGCUGUCUUAGCAAACUCAUCAGCAAAUCUCUUUGGAGGUCUGCCCUUGGUGGCUCUUUCAGAUCUGCGUACUAGACGCAAGUCUUCUGGACUCAUCUCCUCUUUCUUAGGAGAAAAGUGACCAAUGGUGAUCAGUGGUUCUUCCAGUUCAUUGUCAGACGCAUCAGAUGGUCUGACUGAGGCCUUUGCGCUCUUGUAGUCUGCUGUGUUAUCACUUUCACUGACACCAGCAGCAGCGCCGCCCACUGAACUGGAAUCCGAACUCUGAUCAUCAUCGUCAUCAUCAUCCUCAGCAGCUUCCUCAACAUUAUCUGCUUUCUUCACAUCACCUUCAUCCUCCUCUGGGUAACUCUGGAAAAUUCCCACAUUUUCCCCCCACUUAGGAUUGUACUCAACACUCUUUGUGAACUUAAUGGACUUAGAGUUGGUCAUCCAUACCCUGUAUGAACCUUUUUUGUACCCCAUGAACAAACCAUGUGCCCCACGCUUCGCAAUCUUGUUGCUCUGUGGGGUGUGUACCCACAUGUCAGAACCAAAGAUUCUCAUGUGUUUGAUGUUGGGUUUCUUACCAAACAUCUUCUCAUAGGGGGUACAACCAAUAGGUGAUGACAAUCUGCGAUUAAAAGUGUAAACAAACGAGUUCAAAGACUCCCCCAAAACUUCUCAGGAGAUUGGCAUCAUGCAACAAGGUUUUCAGUCCUUGCAGCAACGUUUGAUUUGCUCGCUCCGCAAGUCCAUUCAUCCAUGGCGAUCUAGGCGUUGACAAGUCAUGCUGAAUUCCCUUCUCAGUCAAGAAAGCUUCAAACUGCUGAGAAGUGAACUCCCCGCCUCGAUCAGUAAACAGACAGCCAAUGCGUUUACCGUGAACAUUCUCCAACCAAGCACAGAAUGCCUUGAACUUAGGAAACGCUUGCGAUUUCUGCUCGAGCAUAAACACAUGAAUGUACUUGGAAAAAGAAUCAAUUAUAACCAUGAAGUACCUUGCUUCACCCAAAGAGGGCGCAAGUGGACCAACCAGGUCUGCGUGCACUAGCUGGUAGGGUUUGGAAGCCUGCCUGCUAGACUCCUUGCCUUUUGGAGCAACCUUCACCUUGUUCUCUGCACAAGAUACACAUUUCAUGUGAAACUUACAGGGUUUGAUGUUCAAACCCUCAACCAUCUCUGGCAUCUUGGCCAGCGCCUGCCAAGAGAGGUGACAAAACCUCCUGUGUGCAUCGUGAAUGCAUCCUGCAUGAAGAACUUUGUUAGUUUGUGCAACACAACAAGAAUCAGCAUUAGACACAACAGCACCAUUGUCGUCAUAAGUUAUACAGAACAAGCCAUCCAUAAACUUUGCAUGCAAAAUGUCCUCUUUGCCUUUUCUGAUGACACAGACGCUCCUUUUGAAGGAAAUCUCAAAACCACGCCCAGUCAGCUGUGGGACACUGAGCAAAUUGUCUGCAGCACCUGGAACAUAUAGUACAUCUUUGAUGGUAGUGUGCAGACUUGCCAGUUUAACAGUCCCUUCUCCUGCAAUUCGCAACGUCUUUCCAUCAGCCAGGUGGAUCUCACCUUCUUGAGGCUUGAAGGAGAUAAAGAGAUGGCGGUCUUUCGACACAUGGCGGGUACACCCUGAAUCAACAACAAACCUGGCUUUGGCCUUUGGAGCAGCCUUUGCAGCAAGCAAAACCUUGUUUUCCACCGGCGUGGGCUUUUGCAGCUUGCCCCCCUGCUCUUGGCCAUCAGACUUGCCUUUAGCCUUUGGUGAAGCUGUGCCAGCAAACAAAACCUUGUUUUCCACUGGCGUGGGCUUUGCAGCUUGCCCCCUGCUCCUGGCCAUCAGACUUGCCUUUAGCCUUUGGUGAAGCUGUGCCAGCAAACAAAACCUUGUUUUCCACUGGCGUGGGCUUUUGCAGCUUGCCCCCCUGCUCCUGGCCAUCAGACUUGCCUUUAGCCUUUGGUGAAGUUGUGCCAGCAAACAAUGCCUUGUUUUUCUCUGGCGUGGGCUCUUCACCCUCCCUCUGCUUCUGGCCAUCUGCAGGCGUCUGCCUCUGUUUACCUUUGCCCUUCCGGCCUCUGCAAAGGCGAUGACCUUGGCUCCCAUGAGAAACAGAGCUCUCAGCUGCCGACUCCUUGGCUCCCCUGGAGGCUGGAAUGCUGCCUGGGAUGACGUGACAGUCAGCUCCCCUGCAGCUUGCAACCGGUGCCCUCAGCAUCCCUGCAUUCACUCGCAUUCUGGGAAACAGCCAGGACCUCCAAUGCAGUCAAACUCUGGGCUGGGAUGACUGGCAAAUGGGCUAUCUUCAAAGCAUGCCACAUCUUACGUGCAGUGGUGUUGCCAGCAAGCGUUUUUAUUUCCUCCAGAGAGACGGACAAGACUAUUAUGUCUAUCGCCUUCGAAUUUUCGGCCUUCCAUCUCUCUGUCAGAGGAACUGGAGGGGCCUCACACACAGUAUGCCACACUCCAAACUGACGCAGCAAGCUCUCACACCACACAGCCCAGGUCCCAUAAUUGUGCCGAUUUAGCUUUGGACACUCAGCAGCCUCAGAAGCUUGGAAAAACUCCAUUCCAGGUUUCUACUUGAGCCGUGAGCCUUUAUGCCUUCAAAAACGUCUUAUCUCGGCAGCCAUAAAUCUUGAGGCCUUUGGCGCGGCUUCCAGAUCCAUUAGUCUGCCGGAGUUCAAAGGCCCUUGCCUCGGCAAACAGAAAAGCCUCACUUUCGCUUUUCCUCCACGUACCUUUCAGCAGUCUGUCGCAGUCUUACUCUCCUGUAAGUGCUGUGAAUCUGGGCCCGAAACCUGUUGUUGGGAUACUGCCAGGGAGACAAAGUCCAUCAUGGCCCCCAAGCUGUCUGCCGGACGAUCCAUCGACCUCCCGUAGGCACGCAGCGACAUGAGUUUCUAGAAAAUAUCUUGCCACAUUCCAGAGCUCAUGCAUGCUCUAUCAGCAGAUAAUGCACAGCCAAAAGUUGCAAUCAGGAGAGCAUUAUUUACAAGUUUAUUCAGCGUUGAUCAGAACACAGAAAAACAUGACUGCCUGCUUUAGUGUCUACGACACAGAGAGAAAACGAAAGCAACAGAAAACAUAAACAUCCUGUGAACAGGAAAUACGCAGACUCUGACUCACAAAGCCUGCUCCCUUUUAAGGUGGAACGGAAAUAUCCUAACCCGCUAAAUCAAUGCACGAUUGACUAUCUUCAUACACUUGGAUAGGCAAAUCUACUUUACAAUCUAGAUCUUUUAGUAUCUGUAUAAACCACAUGAUUUCAUUGCAUGCUAGCGACAGGCUCCCAUAUUCUGCCUCACAGGAUGAGGUCGCAACAAAUCCUUGUUUCUUUGACUUCCACCCAAUUAUGGAAUUGGCAAACAUCAUAACCAUUCCACUUGUAGAUUUUCUAGUAGCUACACAGCUUCCCCAGUCCGCAUCAACAAAUACUUCUAGUUUUUCGUCUUGUGUACUAGAUAUCUUCAAACAUACAUUUAAUGUCCCCUUUAGAUAUUUGAUAAGCCUUUUCAAAGCACACCAAUCAGCAGUCCUGGGUUUAGAUACACGUUGGCUCAGAACAUUUGUAGCACAUGCAAUGUCUGGCCUUGACCACUGGCUUAAAUACAACAGUGAUCCUAUUUUUGAGUGAUACAACUCAGGCUGAUCAAAUUCAUCAUCACACACUGUCUUUGGGAAAUCUGGUGUCACGGGAGUCUGAACUGGCUUGCAGUUUUCCAUGCCAAACUGCUCUAUCAAAUGAAGAAUUUUCUCUUUCUGGCUUAAUAGAAAGCUUCCAUCAGCUUCCUGCCUUACUUCUACUCCCAAGUAAUUGCUUACAGGCCCUAAGGAUUUAAGCUUAAACCUCUUUUCCAGUUGACUUGGGAGCUUCUGGAUCUCAUCUGUGGAACUCCCUGCCACAAGCAAAUCAUCAACAAAGACUAAGAGCAUUAGAUAUUUGUUGCCUGUCCCCUUGGUGUACAGGCAUGGAUCAGCCACACUCCUUUUAAAACCAAGUUUUACAAAGGCUUCAUUUAAACACUGGUUCCAACACCUUCCACUUUGUUUGAGACCAUAGACAGCCUUUUUCAAACACCAGACUGCACCAUUCCCCUCUUCAAACCCAGGGGGUUGUCUCAUUAACACUUCAUGGUCUAAAUUUGCAUGCAGAUAUGCUGCUUCAACAUCAAAAUGGUGCACUGCUAAUUGUCUUACAGCAGCAAUGGAAAGCAUUAAAUGAAAAGUUUCACUCUUUACAGUGGGAGAAAACGCUUCAUCAUAACUCUCCCCUUUAAUCUGAGUGAACCCUCUGGCUACUAAUCUGGCUCGAAAACGUGGUUCCCCAGAUGCAAGGGUUUUCCUUUUAUAAACCCACUUGCAUGACACCACUCUGCCACCAGGUGGCGGCAUUAUGACCUCAAACACUUUGUUACGUUUAAAAGAGUCCAUUUCUUCUUUCAAAGCUUGUUCCCACAAAGCACAUUCCCCAGGGGGUAAGUCUAAGACUUCAUUAUAACUUUGUGGUUCCACACAAUUCACAUUGCAUGCUCUCACUCCUCCUAGGGUCAAAUGCUGAGGAGGUACACCCUUGUUUGAACGUUUGGAGCGCCUAGGCACAACUACUUCUUCUUCCCCCCUUAUCUCUGGCUCUUCUUCCUCUUCCUCUAGAGAAGAAGUAUUAUCUAUUGCCACAUCUUUUGGGGAAAUCUGUGCUUCCUCCUGUGCAUCCUGCUCCUGUGUUGCCAAUGGCUGAGAAGAAGCCUCUUCUCUUACUUGCAGGGGCAGUAGGCAAUCUGAGUUGGCAUGGAUCGCAGUCCAUCUGUCCUGGUCAGCGAAGUCUGCGCUUCGUGACAGAACCACGUGUCCUGGGCAUAAAUUGAAACGCCACCCUUUGCCAUAGGACUGGUAUCCCACAAACCACAGUCUCUGCACUCUAGCGCCCCCUUUCUGGCGCUGAGCUUUGGGGAUAUUUACAUGUGCCCAAGAACCCCAGUUAUGGAUCAUUGUCCACUCUGGUUCUUUCCCAAACAACACUCGAUAAGGAAUAUCUUUUAUAGAGCUAGACCAGGUUCUGUUAAUCAAAAAGUUCGCUGUAAGGAGUGUUAGGAUAUUUCCGUUCCACCUUAAAAGGGAGCAGGCUGUGAGUCACAGAGUCUGCGUAUUUCCUGUUCACAGGAUGUUUAUGUUUUCUGUUGCUUUCGUUUUUUCUCUCUCUGUGUCGUAGACACUAAAGCAGGCAGUCAUGUUUUUCUGUGUUUUGAUCAGCGCUGAAUAAACUUGUAAAUAAUGCUCUCCUGAGUGCGACUUUGGCUGUGCAUUAUCUGCUGAUAGAGUGUGCAUGAGCUCUGGAAUGUGGCAAGCUAUUUCUAGAAACUCAUGUCACUAAUUGUUGAUACUGCGUGACUACGGGAGAUCGAUGGAUCGUCCGGCAGCCAGCUUGGGGGCCAUGAUGGACUUUAUCUCCCUGGCAGUAUCCCAACAACAGGUUUCGGGCCCAGAUUCACAGCACUUACAGGAGAGUAAGACUGCGACAGACUGCUGAAAGGUAUGUGGAGGAAAAGCGAAAGUAAGGCUUUUCUGUUUGCCGCGGCAAGAGCUUUUGAUGUCCGGCAGGCCUAAUUGGUCUGGGAGUCGAGCCAAACAGGCCUCAAGAUUAAUGGGAGCCGAGAUAAGAAGUCUCUGAAGUGAAUAAGACUCACGGCUCAAGUAAAAAGCUGGAAUGGAGUUUUUCCAAGCUUCUGAGGCUGCUGAGUGCCCAAAGCUAAAUUGGCACAAUUAUAAAACCUGGGCUGUGUGGUGUGAGAGUUUGCUGCGUCAGUUUGGAGUGUGGCAUACUGUGUCUGAAGCCCCUCCAGUUCCUCUGACAGAUAGAUGGAAAGCCCAGAAUUCGAGGGCCAUUGACGUAAUAGUCUAGUCCGUCUCUCUGGAGGAAAUUAAAACGUUAGCUGGCAACGUGACUGCACGUAAGAUGUGGAAUGCUUUGAAAGAAGCUCAUCUGCCAGUCAUCCAAGCCCAGAGUUUGACUGCAUCGGAGGUCCUGGCUUUUUCCCAGAAUGCGAGUGAAUGCAGGGAUGCCGAGGGCACCGGUUGCAAGCUGCAGGGGGAGCUGACUGUCACGUCAUCCCAGGCAGCAUUCCAGCCUCCAGGGGGAGCCAAGGAGUCGGCAGCUGAGAACUCUGUUUCUCGUGAGAACCAAGGUCAUCGCCUUUGCAGAGGCCGGAAGGCCAGAAGUAAACAGAGGCGGAUGCCUGCAGAUGGCCAGAAGCAGAAGGAGGGUGAAGAGCCCAUGCCAGUGGAAAACAAGGCUUUGUUUGCUGGCACAGCUUCACCAAAGGCUAAAGGCAAGUCUGAUGGCCAGGAGCAGGGGGGCAAGCUGCAAAAGCCCACGCCAGUGGAAAACAAGGUUUUGCUUGCUGCAAAGGCUGCUCCAAGGGCCAAAGCCAGGUUUGUUGUUGAUUCAGGGAGUACCCGCCAUGUCUCAAAAGACCGCCAUCUCUUUAUCUCCUUCAAACCUCAAGAAGGUGAGAUCCACCUGGCUGACGGAAAGACAUUGCGAAUCGCAGGAGAAGGGACUAUGAGACUGGCAAGUCUGCACACUACCAUCAAAGAUGUACUAUAUGUUCCAGGUGCUACAGACAAUUUGCUCAGUGUCCCACAGCUUCCUGGGUGUGGUUUUGAGAUUUCCUUCAAGAGGAGCGUUUGUGUCAUUAGAAAAGGCAAAGAGGACAUUAUGCAUGCAAAGUUUAUAGAUGGUUUGUUCUGUAUAACUUAUGAUGACAAUGGUGCUGUUGUGUCUAAUGUUGAUUCUUGUUGUGUUGCACAAGCUAACAAAGUUCUUCAUGCAGGAUGCAUUCACGAUGCACACAGAAGGUUUUGUCACCUCUCUUGGAAGGCACUGGCCAAGAUACCAGAGAUGGUUGAGGGUUUGAACAUCAAACCCUGUAAGUUUCACAUGAAAUGUGUAUCUUGUGCAGAGAACAAGGUGAAGGUUGCUCCAAAAGGCAAGGAGUCUAGCAGGCAGGCUUCCAAACCCUACCAGCUAGUGCACGCAGACCUGGUUGGUCCACUUGCGCCCUCUUUGCGUGGAGCAAGGUAGUUCAUGGUUCUAAUUGAUUCUUUUUCCAGGUACAUUCAUGUGUUUAUGCUCAAGCAGAAAUCGCAAGCGUUUCCUAAGUUCAAGGCAUUCUGUGCUUGGUUGGAGAAUGUUCACGGUAAACGCAUUGACUGUCUGUUUACUGAUCGAGGCGGGGAGUUCACUUCUCAGCAGUUUGAAGCUUUCUUGACUGAGAAGGGAAUUCAGCAUGACUUGUCAACGCCUAGAUCGCCAUGGAUGAAUGGACUUGCGGAGCGAGCAAAUCAAACGUUGCUGCAAGGACUGAAAACCUUGUUGCAUGAUGCCAAUCUCCCUGAGAAGUUUUGGGGGGAGUCUUUGAACUCGUUUGUUUACACUUUUAAUCGCAGAUUGUCAUCACCUAUUGGUUGUACCCCCUAUGAGAAGAUGUUUGGUAAGAAACCCAACAUCAAACACAUGAGAAUCUUUGGUUCUGACAUGUGGGUACACACCCCACAGAGCAACAAGAUUGCGAAGCGUGGGGCACAUGGUUUGUUCAUGGGGUACAAAAAAGGUUCAUACAGGGUAUGGAUGACCAACUCUAAGUCCAUUAAGUUCACAAAGAGUGUUGAGUACAAUCCUAAGUGGGGGGAAAAUGUGGGAAUUUUCCAGAGUUACCCAGAGGAGGAUGAAGGUGAUGUGAAGAAAGCAGAUAAUGUUGAGGAAGCUGCUGAGGAUGAUGAUGACGAUGAUGAUCAGAGUUCGGAUUCCAGUUCAGUGGGCUGCGCUGCUGCUGGUGUCAGUGAAAGUGAUAACACAGCAGACUACAAGAGCGCAAAGGCCUCAGUCAGACCAUCUGAUGCGUCUGACAAUGAACUGGAAGAACCACUGAUCACCAUUGGUCACUUUUCUCCUAAGAAAGAGGAGAUGAGUCCAGAAGACUUGCGUCUAGUACGCAGAUCUGAAAGAGCCACCAAGGGCAGACCUCCAAAGAGAUUUGCUGAUGAGUUUGCUAAGACAGCAACUGCUGUUCUUAGUAGCUCAGAGAAGGUGUGGGAACCUUCAAGCUUCAAAGAGGUUCAGGAGUUAACCUCUAAAGAUGCUGAGCCUUGGCUUAAUGCCAUGAAGGCUGAAGUUGAUUCCUUGAAUAGGAACCAAACUUGGGAGCUGGUACCGGUAGUCCCAGGGAUGAGACUGGUUGGCAGCAAAUGGGUCUUCAAGGCCAAGACAGACCAGAAUGGCAAGGUUGUCAGACACAAAGCCAGAUUGGUUGCCAGAGGUUUUUCACAGGUACCAGGACAGGAUUACCACGAGACCUACUCACCCACCGUCAAAUAUGAGAGCAUUCGGCUGAUGCUCAAUAUAGCUGCAGAGGAGAAACUGCAUGUUUCCCAUCAUGACAUUAAUACAGCUUUUUGUACGGGAUUCUGAGGGAGGAGCUGUUUAUGCUUCCACCUGAUGGGAUGCAGAUACAGAAGGGAAUGGUCUGUAAACUGCGGAAAUCCUUAUAUGGUCUCAAGCAGAGUGCCAGGUGUUGGAACACAAAGCUCACUGAGACGUUGCUUUCUCUAGGUUUUCACCAGGGCAAAGCUGAUCCAUGUGUGUUUGUCAAGGAGGAGGGGCAAAACAAACUGUAUUGUUUAUGUUUUGUUGAUGAUCUUCUGAUGUUUUGGAAGAAUCAGGCUUUGUACCAAAGCACCCUAGCUCAGCUGAAGGAGCACUUUGACAUGAAGGAUCUUGGUGAGGUAUCCAACUAUCUCUCUCUGCAGGUGGAGAGGGACCAAGCAGGUAAUUUUCUGGUACACCAAACACAGAAAAUUGCUGAUGUAUUAACCAGGUUGAAUUUGGUUGAUGCAAACCCAGCAGACACACCGAUGGUGACAGGUUACCAGGUAGACAGUACUGCUGAAGCGUUUUCUGACACUACGCUGUACAGAUGCAUUCUAGGCAAGUUGAAUUUCAUUGCUAGAUGCUCAAGACCUGACAUAGCUGUAAGCACUAACCUGCUUAGCAGACAUGCCAACAAUCCUACUGUUCAGGAUUGGAAAGCUCUGAAGCGCAUAGCCCGCUAUCUGAAAGGGACUAUGCACUACAGGCUGAGGUUCACCAGUCAGAAGACUGGAGGUCUUGAAAUCUUUGCAGAUGCAAGUUUUGGAAGUGACACCACGGAUGGUACAAGCACUUCUGGAGUAUGCUACAUGUACAACCGCUGCCUGUUUGACUGGUUGUGCAAAAAGCAGACAACAGUGAGCCUAAGUUCCUGUGAAGCAGAACUCAAUGCUCUGUCAUUUUCACUCAUGGAUUGUGAAUGGUUGAUGCAACUGUUUAAGGACAUCAGAGUUUCUGUGAAAUGUCCUGUACAAGUGUAUCAAGACAAUAGAUCGUGUUUGGCUUUGCUGAACUCAGAGAGUUGCAAGCAAAGGACCAAGUACUUGCAGAUUAAGCUACAUCGUGCAAGAGAGUGUAUUCAGAAAGGACUCAUUCAGGUGUCCUACAUGCCAGGAAAUGAAAUUCCUGCUGAUCUGUUGUCUAAGGUUGUUAACAGAGAACAACUUAAGGUUUAUGUACAAAGGUUGCAAUUGGGUUGAACCACAGGUACUACAGGUUACACGGAAAGGGGAGGAUGUUAGGAUAUUUCCGUUCCACCUUAAAAGGGAGCAGGCUUUGUGAGUCAGAGUCUGCGUAUUUUCUGUUCACAGGAUGUUUAUGUUUUCUGUUGCUUUCGUUUCUCUCUGUGUCGUGAGACACUAAAGCAGGCAGUCAUGUUUUUCUGUGUUCUGAUCAACGCUGAAUAAACUUGUAAAUAAUGCUCUCCUGAUUGCAACUUUUGGCUGUGCAUUAUCUGCUGAUAGAGCGUGCAUGAGCUCUGGAAUGUGGCAAGAUAUUUUCUAGAAACUCAUGUCGCUGCGUGCCUACGGGAGGUCGAUGGAUCGUCCGGCAGACGGCUUGGGGGCCAUGAUGGACUUUAUCUCCCUGGCAGUAUCCCAACAGAUUUGCCUAUCCAAGUGUAUGAAGAUAGCCAAUCGUGCAUUGCAUUAGUGGGCUCGGAAAUAAUGAAAUCCGCAUCAAAACAUAUUGCUAUCCGUCAUGCAAAUGUUAGAGAUUUUGUACAGAAUGGGAUAAUCAAACUGGAGUAUUGUCAAUCACAAGAUAAUAUUGCUGAUUUGUUUACUAAGCCUUUGCCAGCAACAUGCCAUAAUGAAUUGAUGACAAAACUGGGUUUAUGUAUAUAAUGUAUGUAUGUAUUGUUUCUGUUGAGGUUUUUCGCAUUUAAGAAACAGAAGGGGUGUCACGGCUAAAAUGGCCGCUGUUUCUUUAAUGCGAAUAAAGCUGGGUCAGCAUGAGUCAGCGACCUGCACCAGGUUGUAUAUAUAGAAUGAGAAAUGUUAGUUUGUUGUGGGAUUGGUUGGUUGAUUAGUGAAAGCUGGUAGUGUUGUUGUAUGUCAGUCGCUUUUGCACAAAGACUUUUAAGAAUAAAAGCAGAAAGCACUCUGCAAGGAUAUUCUUGUGGACUCUUUUAUGCCGACAAGGGUCUGAGGACCAGGCUGAGGAGACAAAGGGAGGUCAGAACCCUUUUCCUUUUUUUUUUUUUUACAAACACUGACAAUUAUAGCAGUUAAUUUUGCCAAAAUUAAAUAUUAAUUUAGUUUACAAAUCCAUUCCUCCUUUGUGGGUAUAAUUUGUCACUUCCACCUAGCAGCAAUCACUAUUCUAGCAGCUGUACUUGCAUAUAGAAAAAUCCCCCCCCCCCCGUGGUAUCUCUGUUAGAAAAACGCCUGCCCGGGAGAGUUGCCAGCUUCCCAGGCAGUCUGGGGGCAUUCUCCGGAGGCCACUCUCUGGCUGGAACCCAGGAAUCCACCUUCAGUCCAGAGAGGCCGUAAAUAAGCGAUCCCUCCCUUCUGAGAGGAACACACUAACAAACCUCUGGCAAUCCAUCACAGAAGAAUGAGGCAGUCCGUAGUCUAACAACUACUUUAUUAAGACUGUACAAAACAUGGCUGCUCACCCAAGCAGUCCAUCAUGAGAGUCUGCGACUCGACUCUGCUUCAAUCCAGAAGUGGAAGACGCUCCCUGUAAUUCCGCCCCGGUUACACUGAGAAACUCUGAGACCUGGCUCAGACAUCCUGUCUCACGUUCAGAAACAUCAGACACAUCACAUGAUGUAAACAAUUCAGCUGUUUCCCCGCAGCUUGUGGGAACUGAAAUCCCAACAUCCUCCCCCAUUUGAGUCACACUAGCUGCGAAAACAAAAGCAGCAUCAAGCAAGGAAGACAAACAGUUGUUAUACACAUAACAAACCCCUGUUGUUCCAGCUCCACCUUUGGAACUACCUGCAACUGGAUCUACCAGUUGAAACCUCUGGUGAUUUCCUUUCCAAGGAACUAGAGCUUCGGCUCUACCUUGGCUAGGGAGAAUUGUGUUGCGCCUUGCAACCUCCAGGAAUGGCUUUGUCUCUGCCCUGGACAAACCUUGAACCUGGCUUGAGCUGUUAACAACAGCUAUACAUGCCAUAGCUGAGUUAGCAAACUCCUGAGAGUACCUUUUGGGUGGCACGCCCUUUGUGACUCUCUCAGAUCUGCAAAUGAGGUGCAGAUCCUCCUUGCUGGCUGAUUCUUCCUUGGGACCUUUGGAAGAAACACGCCCAACAGUAAACAAUGGUUCUGUCAAUUCCAGUUCAGCCUGAACCUGUGUAGGCCUGGACAUUGUGUGUGAACCCACCUCAAUGACUGUGUCAUCAGAACUUUCAGUGGUGCUUUCACUGUCACUCUCAAUAUCAGAAUACACAUCUGUAUUGACUUCAGUGAGAAAACAGUGGAGAAACUCUUUCUCCUGUCUACCAGUGCAUUCUACAUGUUUUGUCAGAAUCACUCAAUCAGACUCGGGAAGAACUACUCUGUAGUAACCCUUUUCGUAACCCACAAAAAUGCCCUUAGCACCUUUGACUCUCUGUGGUGUCUCCACAUGCACCUGGGAUCCGAAAACCCUAAAGUGUUUCACUGAAGGUUUUCUCUGGAACAGUUUCUCAAAUGGAGAACUUUCCAUACCUGCUGAUACCUUUCUUACCCACGUGUAAUAAUAUGUGUUCAGCGACUCAGCCCAGAACUCUUGGGACAAAUCUGCACUUUGCAGUUGUGCUUUCAUGCCUUUCUGCAACUCUGUGUUCACCUUGACACAUACACUCUUGUUCCAUGAAGCCUCUGAGACAGCAACCUUGUGCUCUAUCUCGCAUUUCUCUAGGAAAUCUUUGAAAUCCCGUGAAACAAAAACUGGCUUUUCAUCUGUGAAAAGACUUUCAAUAUUAGCAUCAUGAACAAAUUCCACCUUUUCACAAAACUCUUUAAUUUUGCUAAGGUCUGUUGCUGCUUCUGCAAUACGUAAAUCCAGACAUAUUGAGAAAAACAAUCAACCAUUACAAGAUAGUACUUUGCAUUGCCUCUAGUGAGCGGUAGAGGACCAAUUACAUCAGCAUACACUCGCUGAAAAACCUUGGUAACCUUCGUAGACCUGUGGCCUUUGGCACCUUCUGUAGAAGAACCUGUAAAACAAGACACGUUAGUUUUACAAUCUUUACAAUCAGUACUAUCAAAACGCAACAAAUACAGUCCAUCUUCUUCUUUGGCAGAAAGAAAUGGCUUCUUAUCCUUGAAGAUUGUACAUCUUCUCUCAUUGAAGGACACCACCAGUCCUUGCUUUGUCAGCUGUGACACGCUGAGCAGGUUAAAUUCCAAACCUGGCACAAAGUACACACUGUUAAUAGUCAGAUUGAGACUUUGAAGAAAAACAGUCCCAAAUCCAGUAGCUUCCAGCUCCUGACGAUUAGCUUGCUUCACGGUGAAACGUCGACUCUCAAAAGUGGAAAAUAUCCCUCUUCUUCCGGAUAAAUGGUUUGUUGCACCCGUGUCUGCGACAAACGAAUUCCAGGUCGACGGUAAAGACUUUGGCAAAAACAAAGCUUUAGCAGGCUUUGUCUGAGGCUUAGCACGACUUUUGCUACCGGCCUCUGCCUUUCCAGAGCUCCCCUUAGCUCCUUUGGAAACACGGCUUUUGCAGUUCCUCUGCACAUGGCCGAGAAGUCCACACUUGUGGCAAUGAAUGGCGUUUAAGGCAACUGCCUGCUCCUCCUGAGCGACUGUGGGGGACGCUGAUGUAGCUCCACUCUCCCCCUCAGAAACGGCAAGUGCAGCCAAUCGAUCAUUCCCAUUCAUCAGAGCUGCACAGAUCCUUGAGACGUUAAGAUCCACAGCUGGCAGGGUGCCCAGCUGACUGGCAACAGUCCCAAACCUCUGGUCUAGGCUGUUUAUCAACAUGAAGCAAAACACAGCCUCAUCUAAUGGAAAAUUCCUCUCCGCCAGCUGGUGAUGCAAAUAUUGCAUCCUGGUGAGGUGUUCCCGGAGAUCUCCUCCCACUUUCAACCUCAUAUUGGUGAGCUGCUGAAAGUGCAGCAAAGCUGUCCUGGCUGCUUCACGCAUGUGCACUCGGCGUAAUGCCUGCCACAUUAGCCUUGCGUGCGCACAACCCAUGAAUUAACUGGUCAUCAGACAGACAGAGAAUUAUUGCAGCCUUUGCUUGGGUGUCGUGAUCGUUCCAUAGCCUUCCCAGGGCUGCAGGAACUGCGUUCUCAACAACAUCCCAUAUUCUUUGGCGCUGUAACAUUGCUUUCAUUUUCAGACACCAGCUCGAAUAAUUAGCAUUGGUCGGGGGGGGGGGGAAAUCAUCUUGCCCUCCCCUUGCCAAGAAUCCAUCUUGGCUCCAACUUUAAAACAGCUAUCAGCUUCUUCUGAGCAACAAGCUGUAAAUCUUAAAGCAGUCUAUGAGCCUCUUUAAUUGCUCAAUUCUGACUUGCUUCUCCCUUUGAGGUUUAGCAGCCUCAUAAAUCAAAAGCUGAUUUACUCACAGUUCCCCUUUUAGCUGCAAGCAGUCCCGGUUUCCGUCUUUCUACUGGCAGGAAAACAAACAGCUGUAACAGGCUGCUUGUCGCUGCCCCGGAAUGAGGAACUGGGCAGUGCUUUGUUCCAAAGCAGCAGCUUCUUUUGCAGAACUUCAGAGAUCCGAUCGGCACCAUUCAGUCAAGCCUUUUGACCAUCGAUCCGCAUCGGCACCCAUCUGCAAAGAGGCAACCUCCAGCCAUCCGCUGGCAAAACAUCAGAGGUCUGGCUAUCACAGAACCAUCCUCUGCUACCACAUGUUGGAAAAACGCCUGCCUGGGACGGUUGCCAGCUUCCCAGGCAGUCUGGGGCAUUCUCCGGAGGCCACUCUCUGGCUGGAACCCAGGAAUCCACCUUCAGUCCAGAGAGGCCGUAAAUAAGCGAUCCCUCCCUUCUGAGAGAAACACAUUAACAAACCUCUGGCAAUCCAUCACAGAAGAAUGAGGCAGUCCGUAGUCUAACAACUACUUUAUUAAGACUGUACAAAACAUGGCUGCUCACCCGAGCAGUCCAGCAUGAGAGUCUGCGACUCGACUCUGCUUCAAUCCAGAAGCGGAAGACGCUCCCUGUAAUUCCACCCCGGUUACACUGAGAAACUCUGAGACCUGGCUCAGACAUCCUGUCUCACGCUCAGAAACAUCAGACACAUCACAUGAUGUAAACAAUUCAGCUGUUUUCCCGCAGCUUGUGGGAACUGAAAUCCCAACAAUCUCAUCAUCUAUCAAUCCAAGGAGAUACCGUAUUUUUCACCCCAUAGGGCGCACCUAGUUUUUUUGGGGGGGAAAUAAAGAAACCCCCGACCCCAGCCCCCAGAACAGGCUGCUAUCCGCAAGCCUAGGCAGCCCGGCGGGAAGGCGUGCCGGUCUCCCCAGGCUUGCAGAUAUCUUCCCGAAGCCUGGGGCGCGUGGCUCAGCGCGCCCCAGGCUUCGGGAUGCAAGCAGCUCCCACCGCCAGCCUCCAAACCAGGUUGGGGAACAGUGGGAAGGUGCGCUCCGCCUCCCCGCUGUCCCCUGAGCUUGUGGGGCUGGCGGUGGGGAGAAGCGCUGCUUUCCCCACUGCCAGCCUCCAAACCAGGUCGGGGAACAGUGGGAAGGCGCGCUCCGCCUCCCCGCUGUCCCCCGAGCUGGUGGGGCUGGCGGUGGGGGUCAGGUUUGGAGGCUGCUAUCCACAAGCCUUGGGAGCCCAACGGGAACUCCCGCGGAGCUCCCAAGGCUUGCGGAUAGCUGCCUGAAGCCUGGAGAGCGAGAGGGGUCGGUGCGCCUUCAUUUUUGGAGGGGAAAAAGUGCGUCCUAUAGAGCGAAAAAUACGGUAUGUCUCUGGUUUCUUUGUUAUUGAUAUUUUCAACGUCUUCUUUAGUUCUUUGUGUACUACUAUCCCAAAUUUCUUAAUUUCCUCACACCUCCACCACAUAUGUAUUGUUGUUCCUAUUUCUCCACCACGUCUCCAACAGAGGUUGGAUUUCAGUUUGUAUAUCUUUGCCAACUUCACUGGCGUUAAGUACCACCUAUAGAACAUCUUUACAAAAUUUUCUUUAAUUGUAUAUGAGGCAGUAAAUUCUAUAUCCUCUCGCCAGAGUUUCUCCCAUUGCUCUAGAUAGAUAGAUAGUAUGUCUGAAAUCCUGAGACCAUUUAAUCAUCGUUUCUUUCACUUCUUCCUCCAUCAAUUCCCAGUCCAAUAAAAGAUUAUAUGUUUUGGAUAACAAUUUGUUGUUAUUCUGUAUCACUGUGACGUUAAAUUACGAAUCCUCUUUUGCAAAUCCUUUCUUUUGAUCCGAGUUGAAUAUACUUCUAAGUUGUAUAUACUGCCAUCUGUCAACUUCAUAUUGCCAUAUAUCUUCAUAGGAUUUUAAUCUGAGUUUCCCCUGUUCCUCUUCCAAUAAUUGUCUAUAUGUUGGCCAAUUUGUCCUCAUAUUCAAUUUUUUGAUAGCAUAUGCCUCCAGCGAUGAUAUCCACCAAGGUGUCUGUGGUUCCAGAUGUAAUCUAUAUUUGUUCCAAACUUUAUAUAAUGCACCUCUUAAUAUAUUGACUUUUACUUUCUCGUAAUUAAGAUACGCAUGCCAUCCGUAUCUAUUAUUAAAAUUUUCAAGAUCUAAUAUAUUAUUUUUUUCCAAUCUAAUCCAAUCUCUUACCCAAAUAAAACAUUCCGCUUCAUAAUAUAAUUUUAAAUUUGGCAAUGCUAAUCCUCCCCUUUCCUUUCUUUCUGUCAAUAAUUUAUAUUUUAUCCACGGUUUUUUCCCUUGCCAUACAAAACUCAUUAUACCUUUCCUCCAUUCUUCAAAGCAAUUCUCUUUAUUUAUAAUUGGUAUUGUUUGGAACAAAUAUAGCAUUUUUGGCAGGACAUUCAUUUUAAUUAUGGAGACUCUUCCCCAUAAUGAUAACUUUAAUCUACUCCAGGUUUCAAAAUCUUUCCUUAUUCCUUUCCAAACUUUCUCAUAAUUAUUUUUGUACAGGUUGAUAUUCUUCAUAGUUAGAUCUAUACUCAAAUAUUUUGCUUUCUUAACAAUCUGUAAGCCAACCUUUUCCUGAAGUUCUUUUUGCUCUUCUUCUUGCAUAUUUUUUACCAUAAGUUUUGUCUUUUCCAUAUUCAUUUUAAAGCCAGACACUUUGCCAAAAUCCUGUAUUAUCUUUAUUGCUUUAGUGAUACUUGCUUCUGGUUCUUCUGUUGUUAACAAAAUAUCAUCCGCAAAAGCCCUGAUCUUAUAAACCUCUUUUCCCAGUGUUAUUCCUAUGAUCUCUUUGUCUUUCCUUGUUUCCAACAACAAUAUUUCUAAUGUCAAUAUAAAAAGUAAAGGUGAGAGAGGACAUCCUUGUCUGGUGCCCUUCUCCACUGGAAAGCAUUCUGUCUUGACACUAUUAAUUAUUAGACUAGCCUGCUGCUUCUCGUAAAUCGCAUUUAUACUUCUGCAAUAAUUUUCGCCCAAUGAUACUAGUUCCAAUACUUUCUGUAGAAAUACCCUUGCUAAAUUAUCAAAAGCCUUCUCAGCGUCUAUUAGCAUAAACGCCAUUCUUUUACAGUAUUUGUUCUUAAUUCUAAAUAUUCCAAUAAAUCAAUCACUAUUCUCAUAUUUGUCUUUAUAUGUCUGUUUGGAAGGAAUCCUGCUUGAUCUUGGUUUAUAUUGUCCUUUAUAACUGAUUUCAGUCUGUUUGCUAGAAUACUCGCAAACAGCUUAUAAUCAUUAUUAAGCAAUGAUAUGGGUCUGUAAUUAUUAAUUGGCUGACAAUACCAUCGCUGACAAUGCCAUCGCUCCAGCGCCCACGGGGUAAUUAGAGGCUGAGAUGGGAGUAAUCAGCCUCCCAAAUUCUUCCUGGGGUAAGGGAAGAUGCAGUCUCAUCCAUGGAUGCCCAAUAAACCACCCCCAAGUUUGUAAAGAAGGAGGGGGUGGGGGCACUGGAUGGAAAGCCCCCGAGGGAGUUCGGAUCUCCUGGACGCUGUCCCCGUGAGCGCACCAAAUUCCAUUACUUAAGAUGAAAAAUUGGGUUUAAGUUUUGGACAUGCUUCGAGUGAGGAGGGGGAAAUUAAUCUGCCAAUUAAGCCAGCCACUGAGGUGCCAAAAGAGACGGAGUGGAAGAAGGAUAACAUCUAAGUUGAUAUGUUGGAACGGAACGGAAAAGGAGGGGGGGUAAAGCCUUUUUUACUAUUAUACUCUGAUUUAUUAUAAUACUUGGCAAACCCCCCCCCCCAGAAGAACCGUUUGCAUGCAGCUUGAAACAAAGCAGCGUCGCGAUCGCCCUGCCGAACGUGGCACCCAAGGGGCCGCAGCAACCGGACCACGAAUCAACUCUGGCUCCUCUGUCUUGCUGCUUUACCCCUCCGAUAUGCAGGUACAAAAACCUCACUGCGUGGCGAUCCUCGGUGCUGCGCGAAGCGGAAAGGGACACGAGGCGAGGGAACGCGAACGAAGAGAGGAAAAAAUCUUCAGAAAAACCUUCUACCAGCUGGCGAGGGGAAAGAGGGCGGUCCCCGGGCGCACCUGGCCUUAAAUAGGUAAGGCCACGCCUCCCCGGCCCGCCGAUUGGCGGGUCGGAUCGCAGGCACGCCCGGGGAUUCCCUGAGAUUCCCUGAGUCUCGCGGGGGCAAAGUCCGCCCCCGCGUGUGUGGGAGGGUGGCAGCCCGCAACCCCCUCUCCUCAGGAAUUCGGAAAUGGCUUUAUAGCAAGUGGGAUUGCAAAAUAUAAACUGUGUGGAAAUAACAAUAUUAUAUAAUUAAAGCUCCUGUUUUUUGAAUUGCCUGGAAGAAGAUAAAAGACACUCCAAAUACUGAUUUUAGAAAGAAGCAGGAUCUCGUUAGCCGCUGGAGAGACUUCAAAAAACUUUGGACGGGUUCUUAGUAAUUAGGAAUCCGCCAUUAUGGAAUAAGACCGAGCUGCAGAGUUAUAAAUAGUCAUAGGGGGAGGUGAGCUCUUAAUAUGUCAUUAUAUCUGUAUUUCAUUUUUUUUUAAAAUAAUUUUUAUUUAAGUUUUGAACAACAAAGAAAGAAAAGAAAAACAUACACAAUACAUAUCUCUAAAGAAGAAAAAAAGAUAACAAGAACACACAAAAAAGAACACAAUUCAACAAUAAAAAACAAAAAACAUAACAAUUAAAAACAAUAUCUCUUUUCCAUUUCCGUUUUUUAGUUUACUUAUUUUCUGGACUUCCUCAUACCUCCCUCUUUUGUAUUCCAAUCCAAAUUGUUUGUCCAGCAAUUUCUUUUCAACUUUUUUAAUCCCAAUCUUUAACUUUAAUAUAAUAUUGUAAUAUAUAUCUUCAAUUUCUUUAAACCUGAUCUUUAAUCUUAGUAUAAUAUAACGUUAAAAUUUUCCCUCUUAAUUGUCAGAUUUCCAUUUCUUUAAACAUCUUUAAUCCUAAUCUUAAUUUUAGUCUAUCAUUAACUUUAACCUGUACAGCUGGAAACCGCUUAUUUUCAGUCCAACAUCACUCUAGCAUUCUUUAAUUUUACAAUGUUUCUGACGAUAGUCUUUGAAUUUCUUCCAAUCUUCCUCCACCGACUCUUCUCCCUGGUCACGGAUUCUGCCAGUCAUUUCCGCCAGUUCCAUAUAGUCCAUAAGUUUCAUCUGCCAUUCCUCCAGCGUGGGAAGUUCUUGUGUCUUCCAAUAUUUUGCGAUGAGUAUUCUUGCUGCUGUUGUUGCAUACAUAAAGAAAGUUCUAUCCUUUUUAACACCAUUUGGCCGACUAUGCCCAGGAGAAAGGCCUCUGGUUUCUUAGGGAAGGUAUACUUAAAUACCUUUUUAAUUCAUUAUAUAUCAUUUCCCAGAAAACCUUAAUCUUUGGGCACGUCCACCAAAGGUGAAAAAAUGUACCUUCAGUUUCUUUACAUUUCCAACAUUUGUUAUCGGGCAAGUGAUAAAUUUUUGCAAGCUUGACUGGGGUUAUGUACCACCUGUAUAUCAUUUUCAUAAUAUUCUCUCUUAAGGCAUUACAUGCCGUAAAUUUCAUACCUGUGGUCCACAACUGUUCCCAGUCAGCAAACAUAAUGUUAUGUCCAACAUCCUGUGCCCAUUUAAUCAUAGCCGAUUUUACCGUUUCAUCCUGAGUAUUCCAUUUCAGCAGCAAGUUAUACAUUCUUGACAAAUUCUUAGUUUUGGGUUCUAACAGUUCUGUUUCUAAUUUUGAUCUUUCCACCUGGAAGCCAAUUUUCCUGUCCAAUUUAAAUGCCUCCAAUAUCUGAUAAUAAUGGAGCCAGUCUCGCACUUUGUUUUUUAGUUUUUCAAAACUCUGCAGUUUCAGUCUAUCUCCGUCUUGUUCCAAAAUUUCCCAAUAUUUCGGCCAUUUGACCUCCAUAUUGACCUUUUUCAAGGCUUUUGCUUCCAUUGGUGACAGCCACCUUGGGGUUUUGUUUUCUAGCAAAUCCUUAUAUCUUGACCAAACAUUAAAUAGCGCUUUCCUGACAGUGUGGUUUCUAAAUGCUUUAUGUGCUUUGACCUUAUCAUACCACAAAUAUGCAUGCCAUCCAAAUACAUUGUUAAAACCUUCCAAAUCCAAAAUGUCAGUGUUUUCAAGAAGUAGCCAUUCUUUCAACCAGCCAAAUGGUGCUGAUGCAUAGGUAAGUGUGAGGUCUGGCAGGGCAAAUCCGCCUCUUUCCUUUGCAUCCGUUAAAAUUUUAAAUUUUAUUCUGGGCUUCUUGCCCUGCCAGACAAAUUUAGAAAUAUCUUUCUGCCACCUCUUGAAACAAUCCAUUUUGUCAACGAUCUGCAAAGUUUGAAAGAAAAACAACAUUCUAGGCAAUACAUUCAUUUUUAUCGCAGCAAUACGGCCUAGCAGUGAAAGCUUCAAAUUUGACCAAAUUUCUCAAUCUUUUUCACUUCAGACCAACAUUUUUCAUAGUUAUCUUUAAAUAAGUUCCCAUUUUUGCUGUCAUGUUAAUCCCCAGGUAUUUAACUUUCUUAACCACUGUUAAACCUGUCUCAUUCUGAAACCUCUCUCUUUCAAACGGUGUUAAAUUUUUCUCUAAAACCUUGGUUUUUGACUUGUUCAAUUUAAAUCCUGCCACUUGACCAAAUUCCUGAAUCAGUUCUAAAACUCUUUUAGUACUAGAUUCUGGCUCCUGUAACGUCAAUACUAAGUCAUCUGCAAACGCUCUCAAUUUGUACUGUUUAGUUCCGACCUGUAUACCUUUAACCGACUGGUCCCUUCUAAUCAUAUUCAGCAAAACCUCCAGGACCGAAAUAAAAAGAAGUUGGGAACUAGGGCAACCUUGUCGUGUCCCUUUUUCAAUUUUUAGUUCUUCCGUCACAACAUUAUUUACAAUUAGUUUAGCUUUUUGUUCUGAAUAAAUUGCACCUAUACCAUUCUCAAAACCUUGGCCUACCCCCAUACCCUGGAGAUUCUUCUUCAUAAAAUUCCAAGAAAUAUUGUCAAAGGCUUUCUCCGCAUCUACAAAUAUCAAAACUGCUUUGGUGUUUAUAUUCACUUCUAAUUUUUCCAAAAUUUCAAUUAUAUUCCUCAAAUUGUCAGACAAAUGUCUUCCUGGGAGAAAGCCCGCUUGGUCUUUAUGGAUCUCUUCCAUCAGCACUUUCUUGAAUCUCUUAGCCAAAAUAUCUGCAAAAAUUUUGUCAUCCACAUUCAAUAAUGAUAUAGGGCGGUAGUUCUUAAGCUGUGUCUUUUCAGUCUCUGUCUUUGGUACAAGUGUAAUAUAUGCUUCUUUCCACGACUCUGGUGCUCUUUUCCCCUCCAUUAUUUCAUUGCAAACCUCUUUCAAAGGUUGGAUUAACCAUUCUUUUAAAGAUCUGUAGUAUCUAGAGGUCAAGCCGUCUGGUCCUGGAGAUUUACCCAAUUGCAUGUUUUGAAUGGCACCUUCUAUUUCUUGUUCAGUUAUUCUAUGAUUCAAAAUUAAUUUAUUUUCUUGAGAUAUUUUUGUAAUCCAUUUGUUUUCAAAAAUUGGUCUAAGUCUGUUUCUUUCAAUGGCCCUUGAGUAUAUAAUCGUUUAAAGUACCUCUGGAAACAACUUCUAAUCUCUGCAGGGUUCUGUAUGUUUCUUCCUUCCACCUCUAAGUUCGUAAUCGUAUUUAAUUUUUCUCUCUUUUUCAUUUGCCAUGCUAACAAUUUACCACAUUUAUUGGCCGACUCAAAAGUCUUUUGUCUCAUUUGUUUAAUUUUCCAUUCUAUUUCCUGAUUCAUCAUUUUCAUAUAUUGUACUUGAUAUAGCUUUAACUCUCGCAGAAUCUCUUGAGAUUUGGGAUUUACUCUCAGUCUUUUUUCACAUUCCUUUAUUUUGUCCAUUAUCUUAUCCUUCUUCUCAUUUUGAGUUCUUUUCUUUAUUGCAUUCUGUUGUAUUAAGAACCCUCUCAUAACUGCUUUACUAGCGUCCCAGAUUACUCUUUUCUCCACAUUGGUACUAAGGUUUAUCUCAAAGUAAUCUCUCAGAGUUUUUUGGGCCUUCUUAAGGAGUUCCUCAUCUCUAAAUAAGGUGUCAUUCAUCUUCCAUCUGAAGGAGCCAGUUGGUGUCAGUCUCAUUUCCAUCUUAACAGCAUUAUGGUCGGAGCAAAUUUUCGGGCAGAUUUCCACCUUUCUUGUCUUUGGUGCCAUUCCUCUAGUUAUCCAAAUUUGGUCAAUUCUUGUCCAUGUCAUUUUGGCUUCAGAAAAGAAAGUUCCCUCUUUAGCCAUGGGAUUUCUUAUUCUCCAAAUGUCCACUAAAUCCAAGUUGUCUGUCAUGUCAAAAAAAGUUUUCGGUAGUCUACCAUCCUUGGUGACUACCUGUCUUUGUGCCUUGUCCAUAUAUGUAGAUACCACUCCAUUCAUAUCUCCCAUCAAAAUCAUGUUAUAAUCCAUAUGGUCCAUCAGGGUCUCGUGCAACUUCUUAAAAAAUUCAGAUUUCCCAUCAUUUGGUGCAUAAAUUCCUACAAUCAGAAAUUUUUCUCCUUGUGUUUGAAUUUCAAUUGCCACAAAUCUUCCUUGGUCAUCUUUAAAAACAAAUUUCAGUGAUAAAUUGUCUUUUGCAUAAAUCACAACCCCUCUUUUUUUUACUUUGUCCGACGAAAUAAACUCCUGACCAAGUCUUUUAUUUAUCAACAAUUUCCUGUGUAAUCUUGUUAUAUGUGUUUCUUGUAAACAAAUUAGGUCCAAUUGUUCCUUUUUUUAAUAUAUGAAAUACUGACUUCCUUUUCUGAGGGGAAUUCAAACCCCGACAGUUCCAUGUUAAAAGUUGCAGGGCCAUGAUGUUAUUGUUUUAAUUCUCCUCCUACUGCACCUAGUGCCUGUUCCUCGUCCGUCGGUGGUAUCACUUUUUUCGAGCGGUCUUUUGGUUCCGGAGAUAGUUCUUUUUGUAGGUCUUCUCCGUGGUCUCUCCAAAAUUUGUCUUUGUCGUCUUCCGAUCUUAUUUUCCUCUUCUUUCCUUUGUAACUAAAAGAUAGGCCUUGGGGAAGUUCCCACCUAAAGUUAAUACUGUUCCUUCUCAGCAGGGUGACCAAGUCUUUGUAGUUUGAUCUGAGAUCCAGAAGGUAUUUCGGAAUGUCUUUAAAUAUUUCAACCCUUGUCCGCUGGAUUUCCAGUGUCUUCUUGAAAUGAAAACCCAAAAUCUUAUCCCUCUCUUCUUUUGUUCGAAAGGUAAUCAAACAGUCUCUCACCUUCUUCUCUCCUCUUUUCCCAAGUCUGAAAGCAUUUACUAUUUUGAAGCUAUCUUUUACCAAUUCUGGAUCCCAAAAGUCCAAAAAUUCCUGCAUGAGAAAUUCAGCUAGAUUGUCCUUUUCCACUUCAGGUACCGAUCUGACCCGUAAAUUCACUUGUUUUUCCUUCAAUUCUAUCAUAGACAGGGUCAAUUUAUGAUCUUCCAAUUGUUUGUGCAUUGAUGGUAUUGUCUCUUGAACCUCUUUAACCUCUGUAGCAGAAGUUGUAGCAAUUUCUUUGGCCUCCUCGGCAAUCUGACGUAUUGAGGCCGAUUCCUCUAAUAAUUUCUGAAUAGUCUCUGUAUUAGUGUUUACUUUCUGGCCCAAAUUGUUUAAGCUUGCUGUAUUCUGAUUAAUACUUGUUGUAUUUUGAUCAAUCUUGUCACAUGCCUCUGCUACUUGUUGACUUAUUCUAUUUAACGAUUCAUUAACCUUGGCCAAAACUUGAGCAAAGGCAUCAUCACUUGUCAUACCUUUUACUUUUGAUUGUGCCGAUGAGGCUGUUGUUGGGGUUCCAGAGGCACCUGAAGCCGAAAAUCUCCUUUGUAAUCCUUCUUCUGUUCGAAAAACCCUGCCCGACCUUGUAGCCUGUGAAGCUUCUGUUCUCUCUUUACCAUCUGCCAUUCCUUUAGAUAAAGCUCAAGGUCAGACACGCAGUUAAAUUCAAACAGUGGAAAUUCCCAGCAGAGCUGUGUGAAAAUUCCUCAAGCCAGCUACAGUUUCAAUUAUAACAGAUUGUAACAAUUCCAAGUUCCACUAGGGGGACACUGUAACAGUCAUAAAAGUUCUUGGAUACUUUACUUUCUUUUUUUUUAUUAUUAUUUUUUUUUAAUACUUAUUUUUUUAAUAAAUUUGUAUUCUGUCCCAAAGGAGUGCAGGGCAGCAAGCAACAAAGCAGCAGAGCAAUGCAAAAAGUAAAAAUGAAGAAAUAUUUAUUAAACAAAAUACAAAAGGGCCAUAUUUCUAAAACAGAAAGAUUUGUUUCACAUUUUAUGCCCCUAGUUUUUUUCUACAGAGGCUGUUAAACGUGGCUAAAUAUAAGUGUCUGGAAAGCUCAUGCAAACUCCAUGCCCCCAUAGGAAAACAAGUACAAAGCAAAAGCAGAAAAGAAAGAUCCCUAACGGCAACUAAGUUUUAUUUGCUUUUCACACUCCGCCCUUCCUGUGAGGAACUUCCAGAAGCUCUCACGACUCCUUUUUUUUUUUUUUUUAAAGAAUAUUUAUUCCAAUUUUAUAGUUACAAAAAAAAAAAGUAUAAAAAAGAGAAACACAAACCACAUACAUCUUAUAAAAAAUAAACAAUAAAAAAGGAAUAAGAAAAACAGAAAAUCACAGUAAAAAAAAAAAUAACAAAAAACAUAUUUGACCAUUACAAACCAUUUUCCCAUUUACUUAUUUCCAUGACUUCCUCUCACCUCCCUGCUUUGUAUUCUAGUUUAAAUCGUAUCUCCAGCAAAUCCUUCUAACCUUCUUUUCUUUUACUUAUUUUAACAUUCGAAAGUAUUUAAUUCUCCUCUAUCCUCAUUUUACACUUCAUAUUUACUUAUUCCAUUAUACCCUGUCUGCCAAUACGGUCUAAUAUUCUUCUCCAACCUUUUUCUAACAUUCUUUUAUAUUGCAAUGUUUCUGAAGAUAUAUUUUAAAUUUUUUCCAGUCUUCUUCCAUCAACCCUUCUUCCUGAUCUCGAAUUCUGCCGGUCAUCUCAGCCAGUUCCAUAUAGUCCAUCACUUUCCUCUGCCAUUCUUCUCGGGUAGGCAAUUCUUGUGUCUUCCAGUAUUUCCCAAUGAGUAUUCUUGCCGCUGCUGUCGCAUACAUAAAAAAUUUCCUGUCUUCCCUUCUCACCAAUUGACCGACCCUGCCCAAGAGGACAGCCUCUGGUUUCUUCACAAAAGUGUAUUUCAAUACCUUUUUAAUUCAUUAUAUAUCAUUUCCCAGAAGGCCUUGAUCUUUGGGCACGUCCACCAAAGGUGAAAAAAAGUACCUUCAUUUUCUUUACAUUUCCAACAUUUAUUAUCAGGCAAAUGAUAGAUUUUUGCUAGCUUGACUGGGGUCAAGUACCACCUAUAUAUCAUUUUCAUUAUAUUUUCUCUUAAGGCGUUACAAGCCUUAAAUUUCAUACCUGUGGUCCAUAACCGUUCCCAGUCAGCAAACAUGAUAUUAUGCCCCACAUCUUGUGCCCAUUUAAUCAUCGCAGAUUUAACCAUUUCAUCCUGUGUAUUCCAUUUCAACAGCAGAUUAUACAUUCUCGACAAAUUUUUAGUUUUAGGUUCUAACAAUUCCAUUUCCAGUUUAGAUUUUUCCUCCUGGAAACCAAUCUUUUUAUCUAGGUUAAAAACCUCCCUUAUUUGAUAGUAGUGAAGCCAAUCUCAAACUUUAGUUUUUAAUUUAUCAAAGCUCUGCAAUUUUAAUUUAUCUCCAACUUGUUCUAAAAUUUCACAAUAUUUUGGCCAGUUUGUCUCCAUAUUUGUUUUUUCAAUGCCUUUGCCUCCAUUGGUGACAGCCACCUUGGUGUUUUACUUUCCAACAGAUCCUUAUAUCUCACCCAGACAUUAAACAAUGCUUUCCUGACAAUAUGAUUCUUAAAGGCCUUAUGCGCUUUAACUUUGUCAUACCAUAAAUAUGCAUGCCAUCCAAACACAUUAUCAAAACCUUCUAGAUCUAAAAUGUCCACAUUUUCAAGAAGUAGCCAAUCUUUCAGCCAACAAAAGGCGGCUGAUUCAUAGUAAAGUUUAAGAUCUGGCAGGGCAAAUCCCCCUCUUUCCUUCGCAUCUGUUAAUAUCUUAAAUUUUAUUCUAGGUUUUUUGCCCUGCCAGAUAAAUUUAGAAAUAUCUCUUUGCCACCUCUUGAAACAGUCCAUUUUGUCCACAAUUUGUAAUGUUUGAAACAAAAACAACAUUCUAGGCAAUACAUUCAUCUUUAUCGCUGCAAUUCGGCCUAACAAUGAUAACUUCAAUUUUGACCAUAUUUCUAAAUCCUUCUUCACUUCUGACCAACAUUUUUCAUAAUUAUCUUUAAACAGAUUCACAUUUUUGGCAGUCAUAUUCACCCCUAGAUAUUUCACUUUAUUAACAAUUGUUAAUCCUGUCUCUUUCUGAAACCUCUCCUUCUCAAUCUCUGUAAGGUUUUUCUCUAAUACCUUAGUUUUCAUCUUGUUUAAUUUGAAACCUGCUACUUGACCAAAUUCUUGGAUUAAUUGUAAUACUCUUUUUGUGCUAGCUUCUGGCUCCUGUAGUGUCAAAACUAAGUCAUCAGCAAAAGCUUUCAAUUUGUACUGUUUAGCUCCGAGUUGUAUACCUUUAACCAAUUGGUCUUUUCUGAUCUUAUUGAGCAAAACCUCCAGGACCGAUAUAAAAAGCAAUGGGGAGAUUGGGCAACCCUGUCUUGUUCCUUUCUCUAUCUUAAAUUCUUCUGUAACUACAUUAUUCACAAUAAGCUUGGCUUUUUGUUCUGAAUAAAUUGCACCUAUACCAUUUUCAAAACUUUGACCUACCCCCAUCCCCUGCAAAUUUUUCUUCAUAAAACUCCAAGAAAUAUUGUCAAACGCUUUCUCUGCGUCUACAAAUAUUAAAACAGCUUUAGUAUUGAUAUUAACUUGCAAUUUUUCCAGAAUAUUAAUAAUAUUCCUAGUAUUAUCUGACAAAUGUCUCCCAGGGAGAAAGCCCGCCUGGUCUUUAUGGAUCUCUUUUACCAAUACAUUUUUUAAUCUUUUAGCCAUAAUUUCCGCAAAAAUUUUGUAAUCCACAUUUAGUAGGGAUAUGGGACGGUAGUUCUUCAACUGUGUCUUCUCCACUUCAGUUUUUGGUAUAAGUGUAAUGUAUGCUUCUUUCCACGACUCGGGUGCUUUUCCUCCCCGUAGUAUUUCAUUGCAAAGUUCUUUCAACGGUUGCAAUAACCAUUCUUUCAGAGUUUUGUAGUACUUUGCAGUUAGUCCAUCCGGCCCUGGAGAUUUGCCCAAUUUCAUAUUCUGAAUGGCUCCUUCCACCUCUUGAUCAGAUAUUGUAGAGUUUAAUAUUGAUUUACUCUCUUGAGAUACUUUUUGUAAUCCAUUAUUUUUCAAAAAUCGGUCAAUAUCUAAUUCUUUCUGAGUCUCCUGCGUAUAUAACUGUUUAAAAUAGUUCUGAAAGCACUUCCGAAUCUCUCCAGGAUUCUGUAUGUUCUUCCCUUCUACUACCAAGUUCGUAAUCGUAUUCAGCUUUUGUCUUUUUUUCAUUUGCCAGGCCAGUAAUUUCCCACAUUUAUUAGCCGAUUCGAAAGUCUUUUGUUUCAUCUGUUUGAUCUUCCAUUCUAUCUCCUGGUUCAUCAGUUUCAUAUAUUGUACUUGGUAUAACUUUAUCUCUUUUAGAAUCUCCUGUGAGUUCGGUUUCGCCCUCAGUCUUUUUCUCCAUCCUUAAUUUUCUCCAAGAUUUUUCUCUCUUCUCAUUUUGAUAUCUUUUCCUAAUUGCGUUUUGUUGUAUCAAAAAUCCUCUCAUCACCGCUUUGCUGGCAUCCCAAAUCACUCUUUUUUCUGUCGUAGUAUUCAAAUUUAUCUCAAAAUAGUCUUUCAAAUUCUUCUGAGCCUUUUUAAUAAUUUCCUCAUUCCUAAAUAAGGUGUCAUUCAUCCUCCAUCUGAAAGCUCCAAUUGGCAUUGGUGUCAUUUCAAUCUUUACUGGGUUAUGAUCAGAGCAAAUUUUCGGGCAAAUCACCGCUUUUUUAAUCUUAGGGGCCAGUCCUCUAGUUAUCCAGAUUUGGUCUAUUCUUGUCCAUGUCAUAUUUGCUUCAGAGAAGAAGGUUCCCUCUCUUUCCAAGGGGUUCUUUAUUCGCCAAAUAUCCACAAGAUCCAUAUUGUCAGUCAUUUCAAAAAUGUCUUUGGUAAUCUUCCAUCUUUUGUCACUGUUUGUCUUUGGGCUUUGUCCAUAUUUGUAGACACUACUCCAUUCAUAUCUCCCAUCAAAAUAAUGUUAUAAUCCAGAUAAUCCAGGAGAGUUUCAUGCAAUUUCUUAAAGAAUUCUGAUUUUCCCUCAUUUGGUGCAUAUACACCUAUUAUCAAAAAUUUCUGUCCUUGAAACUGGAUUUCAAUUGCAAUAUAUCUUCCUUGAUCAUCUUUAAAUAUAAAUUUUGGUGACAGGCUUUCCUUCGCAUAAAGUACUACCCCUCUUUUUUUUACAUUGUCCGAUGAAAUAAAUUCUUGUCCCAAUCUUUUAUUUAUCAAAAUUUUUCGAUGUAGCCUUGUCACAUGAGUUUCUUGUAAGCAAAUCAAGUCCAAAUGUUCUUUUUUCAAUGUAUGAAAUACUCUCCCCCUUUUGCCGACCAAUUUAGACCAUUAAUAUUCCAACUUAAAACUUGUAGUGUCAUUUUGUAGUUACUCUCCUUCUCCUCCAACAGCCCCAAGAAGAUUGUCAAUAUCUGUUGGUGGCGUUGAUUUCACUUUUUUUUGCAGACUCUUAUCCGGUAUCGCAGUGUCUUUUCCCAGUCCUUUCUGUAGAUCUUCUUCGUAUGCACUCAAAAACUUAUUCUUUUCCUCCACUGAUCUAAUCUUGGUCUUUCUUCCUUUAAAGCUAAAGGAUAGACCUUGGGGAAAUUCCCACCUGAAAAGGAUUUUAUUUUUUCUCAGCAAGUCCACCAAAUCUCCAAAAUCUUUUCUUAGAUCCAGAAGAUGUUUUGGUAUAUCUUUGAAGAUUUCCACUUUUGAUUGUAUGAUUGUCAAAGGUUUUUCGUAAUGCAAGCCCAAAAUUUUGUCCCUUUCUUCUUUGGAUCGGAGGGUGAUCAGACAAUCCCUUAUUUUAAUCUUUCUUCCUCCUUUCCCCAGUCGAAAGGCCCUCACAAUCCUAAAAUCCUCUUGUUUCAAUUCCGAUUUCCAAAAAUCCAAAAAUUCUUGUGUCAGAAAAUCUAUCAGGGUACCUUUCUCCAACUCAGGAACAGCUCUAAUUCUAAGAUUUGUUUGUUUGUCUUUAAGGUCAAUCAUAGACAACGUUAACUUAUGUUCUGCAAUCUCUUUCUGCAGGUCUGGUACCUUCUCAGUUUCCAAUUGUCCCAAUUUAAAUUCUACAGCAGCAGUCUUUUCCUGUAUAGACUUUGAGUCUUGCAAUAAUCUCUGAAUAGAUUCCGUGUUACUGUUUACUUUUUUCUCCAAAUUGUCUAAUGUUUCUGUAUUUAAGUCAAUUUUCCUGUUUGCAAUGUCCACUUUCUGGUUCGUUUCCUCCACUUUCCUGUUCGUCUCCCCCACCCUUGUACUUAGUUGCUGUAUCGAUUCAUUAAUCUUAGCCAGAGCACUGGCCAAAAAUUCCUCAGACAUUCCACCAGACUUAGAUUGUAUUGCCGAUGCAGGCAAACCAGCAGAUGACUGCCUUCUGUGUACCCAGGGUUUCCCUGAUCACAAGACUGACUGGUCUUUUUGAUGACCAUCAGCCAUAACAAAGUGAAGGUCAAAUUCCUUUCCCACGUCUGGUAUUCCUGUUUACAAAUGGAAAGUUCCUUUCCUGUAGUUACAAGGAGUCCCACUAGGUGGACACUGUUACCACCUAGCUAGUUACUGUCCUUUUAGAAUAGCAAAAGAGGGAAACUAAGUAGAAAAAACAAAAUAUAAAGCAGACAAAGCAACUUUCCAGUUCUUUCCAAUCUUUUCCUCAACAAAAUUGGCCACAAUGUAUCUUCUUUGCAGCCGGCAAGCAGCUCUGACAGCUUUGACAGCUGAGACGUCCACUUAACAAAUCGCUCUUUGAAUCCUUAAAUUUAAGCAGUCCGGUAAAAUCAAAUACCUUUCCCUUAUCCCUCCAAAGGGUAGAUCCCACCAAAGUUCUCAGGUCAGAAAGAAAACUUUUGUUUCAGUUCAAUUUUCUCACGUUUAGCUCCCAAUCUUUAUGCUUUAUUCAACAUACAGUGCAGGGAAGCGGACUUCCUGUUUGCGCUUCCACCGCGGUAGCCAAUUCAGACGUUUUUCAACUUAAAACUUUUCCACUUUUACGCAGAUAAUCCAAUUAGUCCAAUUAGUGCUCUUUUUAAUCCAAUUCCUCUACUCACGGUUUAGAUUUAAGUCCAAAUGUCCCAGGAAUAAGUCAGCGCUCUCCAGCAACGGCAAUACGGCUUCGCUCAGUGAAAGCAGCGAUCUGCUCGCAGCACCGCGCUUCUCCCCCGCUCCCUUCUGAAGCCUCAAAAAAAGGCUUCCUUUCGGGUUGGGGGGGCGCUCCAAGGUGCCCGCCGAGCCUCCACGUUCGCAGGCGUCCGCGCCUGCGAUUUCUAAGGGUCCCCGCUUCGCCGGAGCGCACAGGACCCGAUCUCCCACUGAGCUAUCCCCUCCGAGACUCAAAGGAGGUCCGCCAUUGCUGCUGGCGCUGACCGGAAGUACUUUACUUUCUUUUUUAAGUCCCCCCAGUUUAUUCAGAAAGAUAACAGUCUAUCUAAUAUAAUUACUUGAGACCUGGAGAUAUAUGUCCACAUAAUAUAUCCAAAUUCAUAUUUCCUGCGCAGGACUAGCUGUCAAAAUAUAUUUCCAGACAGUACCUCUCAUCCGUUUUUGAGUUGCCUCUGGAAAUCCGUUCCCAAGGGAUUGAGCGAUGGUUUAGUCCCUUUUAUUUCUACUUCUUUAUACAGAAAUCAAAUCCACAAUUCUCCCCCCUUUUCCCUUGGUUUAAGGGGGGGGGGGGAAUCCAGGUUAGAUGAUUGGAUUAAAGUCCGCUAAAACCUCUUUUCCUGCGCUUCCGCUUUCAAGUUCAAAGCUUUAUUUUAUCUACAAAUAGAAAGAGGUAGACUUCCUUUUUAUACCUCUUUCCGUUUUCGGCCAGAUUCAAAAUUUAUGCAGUCCCAAUUACGUUAUAUCCUACUCACGGAUCGUUGAUUUUCAAGUCCAAAUUCCAAGGAAAAAAGGCAGCGCUCUCCGGUUAACAACUUGCGGCUUCACUCCACGAAAGAAGCAGACAGCCCACAGCACAGCGCUCCUUCCCCCGCUCCGAUUCCGAGCCCGUUGCCGGGCUUUUUACCGGGUUGGGGGGGCGCCAAAUAUGCCCGCUGGGUCCCAGGUACACAGGCUUCCCCCGCCUGUGGUUCUCAGGGGUCCCCCGCUACGCCGAAGCGGGAUCCGACCCUAUUUUUCGUGGCGAGAUUUCCUCCGAUCGAGGAAAUCCGCCAUUAACCGCUGGCGCCACCUCCAGAAGUAUUAUAUCUGUAUUUCAAGUCCGAUUUGGUAAAUCUCCUCUGGAAAGGCUAAUGUUGGAUGCAACCGGUCUGGGAAAAUUAAUGAGCAAACGCCUAGAUUUGAUUUCAUCAGAAUUGAGAGAAGAUGGCACCUGCCAGCAGCGAAAUGACUUUUGGAUUGAUUUGCUGCCUUAGGCUUCCGCCCUCAGGUUCCCCCCCUGAGGUCGAGGUGACUUGCGCCUAGUCCCUCAUCUCUCUCUCUCUCUGGCACCAGGUCCGCCUCGAGAUUGCAGGAGCAUGGAUCUCCAUCCGUCUCUCUGGCACGCUGCUCUGGACGUCCCCUUCAAUAGGAAGAUUUAAAGUAACUAUUGGAAAGACUAUUCAAGGCAGCAGAGCUAUGAGAUGAUCAGAGCCCCCCGAACUUGAAGCAUGGGAAGUCCCAACAAAAAAUAUAUAUAUAAUUUAGGCAGAAUAUUUGGACUAUUUGAUAUGUAUUUGUAUAAUUUGGAACAUUCAAUGUGAUUUGAUUGGAUUGUUAAAAUGGGAAACGUAAUAAAAAUGAAUUUUUAAAAAUAUUGCUUGAUGUAUUUCCAUUAUCGUGAUUGGUGCAUUUAAUUGUUCCAUUUUAUUUUCACUUACUUUUGGAAUUUGUUUGCCCUGUAGAUAUUUUAUUAUUUCUUGUUCUGUUACUGAUCCUCUACUAUAUAGAUUAGCAAAGUAAUUUACAAAACAUUUAUUUAUUUUUUCUUCUGUAUCUAAUGUCUUCCCUUCAUUAAUUACUUUGUUUGUCUCUCUCUCUGCUUUUUCUUUAUCUGCCAAGCAAGAAGUUUACCUGGCCUAUUGCCUAAUUCAAAUGAUUUUUGUUUCCUCCACUUUAUAUUAUUUUCCAAUUCAUUGCUUAAUAGUGUUGAGAUUGUAAUAUUUUAAUUUGUUGAUUUAUUGAGACAUCUUUAGGUGUUUUAGCCAAUAGUUUUUCAUAAUGCGCUAUUUCUUGUUGAAUUUGAUUUAAUUUAGUUUCUCUAAUUCUUCUUUGUAUUAUAUUCUGGUUUAUAUAGAAGCCCCUUAUAUAAGCCUUCCCAGCAUCCCAUAUCACUCUAAGGUCCGUGUCUUGUGCCAUAUUAAUUUCAAAAAAUUAUUUCAUUAACUGUUGGGCUUUUUCUACUAUCUUCUCGUCAUUUAGCAAUCUCUCAUUCAUUCUCCAGCUUUUGUUUUUCUUUUUAUUAUACCUUAUUUCUAGCAUCACCUGGUUGGAUGCCUGCAGAGGGGGCGUGGGCGCCAGCCAGGUGAGGUGGAGGCAGGGGGCAACCGCCCCCUGCUAGGGGCGGUGCUCGGGCUCCCGCCCACAACCACUCCCCUCUCUUCCAGGGAGGAGAGUCUUUAUGAUCUGACAGCGAUUUAGGCAAUGUCUCUGUUUUGUUUAUUAUCGGUAUAAGAUUAUUAGAAACCCAUAUUGCAUCUGACCGGGUUGCUGAUUUGUUUGCAUCUGAAUAGAAUGUAUACUGUCUUUCCUUCUCAUUUUUCUCCCUCCAUACAUCCUUUAAGUUUAAGUCAUUUACCAUCUGGAAGAAUGUUAUUGGGAGUCUCCCUGUUUUGGGUUUUAUUCCCCUUUCAGUGCUAUCCCACUUCGUUGAAGUAACCCCAUUCAGAUCACCCAUUAUAAUCGUAUUCUCAUUAGUAUAUUCUAAUAGUUUCCUUUGUAUUUUUUUUAAGUAUACAGUUUGAUUCCCAUUUGGCGCAUAUACACCUAUUAAUAAUAAUUUCUCUUUCUCUUUAUUCAAUUGAAUUCCCAAUGUUCUUCCACCAUCAUCUUUAAAUAAUAAUUUGGCUUCUAAUUAUGGGUAUGUAUAUAUAACAAUUCCCCUUUUUUGUUAUGUCUGAAGCUAUAAAUUCUGUGCCCAGUCUUUUAUUAAUUAACACUCUUUCAUGGUUUUUUUGCGAUAUGCGUUUCUUGUUGACAAAUCACGUCCCAACUUUUCUUCUUUAAUAUAUGUUUCGUCCUAUUACUCUUUUUCUUAUUAUUUAACCCAUUAAUUUUCCAAGAGAUUACAUUCAAAUUCAUCAAUUUUAUUAGCGAAGGUGACAAAUAAAAAGGAAAAUAUGUAGCGUAUAGAGAGUCAAUCAGAUUUAUAUAGAGAUUUAUCUGCUUUGAGAAUUAAGUUGUGCUGCGUUAUUUGUCUGUUUCUUAGGUCACUCUUGCCAAAUUAUCUCCUCCGUCUUCUGUCACUCCUUCUGUUUCCUCUUCUCUAUCUUGGUUCCCCUCACCUCCCAGUUCCUUUUUGUAUGUUCUUCUGAAUUUCUCCAUUUCAUCUAUAGAUCUUAUGUUCCUUUUUCUAUCUUUAAAUGUGAAAGACAAUCUCUCAGGCAAUAGCCAUUUGAACAUAAUUCCUUUAGAUUUCAGCACAUCUGUCAAUAUCUUGUAAUUAUUUCAUUUUUUAAGAAUUCGUUUAGGAAUUUCUUUGUAUAUUAAUAUAUUAUGUCCAUCUAUUGUCAUUCUUCUUUUUUGUAAGAUCUUAUCUUUCAGCAACCUCAAAUUGAGGAAAACUAGACAAUCCCCUGGACCCUUAAAUGGUCUUUUAGUAUCUGGUUUCAUCCUGAAAAUUUUGUCAGUAUCCAAUAUCAAAUCUUCAUCUCUCACUCCAAGCCAUUCCGCUAUUUCCUAAUGUUUAGUCAAAAGUUCAUUUCUUGCAAUUUGAAGUCAUUAGUUUGGGUCCUACCCCCUGGAGGAGCAGAAAAAAGUCUGCACCAUAUCCGUGUGAAAGCCUUUCAGAUAUUGGAAGAUGGCUGUCCUACAACCUCCAUACCCUCUAAAUGUUCAUAUUUUCCAGGGACAGUUCCCGAAUUAUGAAAGCCAUGCCGGUUUUUAAUUUGAUCUCCGGACAUCCAUAUUUCUCCUGCCAUUGCCACCACUGCCGAGCUUGGAGACGAAGAUGAGCCAGUGCUCAUGGCUGUGAGGAAGCAUUCUGUUGCCAUUCUGUUGCCUCUCCACAACCUCUCCAUGGCCACCGCUGCCAGCCUCCUCCCUUGGCCACCUCACAGUGGCUGCUGGAGAGAGGGCGAGGAGGAGAGGCUGCUGCUGCCCCACUUCCACCAAGGACCAACCUCACGUGAUGUACCAGCUGAGGUGCAGGCAAUUGGCAGGGCCAUCUUAGGCAGGAAGAAAGGGGGAGGGGAGAGGAGCACAAGGAGUCUUUAUUUAAAAAAUGCUUUGUGUGUCCGCAUCUAAUUUUUCCCAUUUCUAAAAUGUAUUUAUUUGUGUGGGUUUCUCUAGAUGUAAAUCUACCAGAGAAUAAAAUUGGGGUUAAGGGGUUUUCUCAGGACAGUGGAGUGUGUGUGUGUGUGUGCUGUGGUCUGUUGGUGUAGCGUAGUGGAGGUGGACCAAAAAAUGGGGGGUCGAAGAGUGUCAAUUGGUCCGAGGAGUGAGAAAUGUACCUAUUUUCUAUUGGAAUUUCAGCUCCGGUCGUCCGAGCUGAUAAGGCUCAUCUUCCUUUGAGCCCAGCAGAGCAUUAAAACAACUCCACAGCGGAAGGAUGAGGCAAGUAUGGGCUACAUUGCUAUGCUUUAUUACUAAGCUAUGCAGAGAGCAAAUAUACAUGUUCUCUCUCUGAGAGCAGAGAGCAACUGAACAAAGGAAACAACAGAACAAAGGAAACAGGAAACCAGUAACGUCACAUCCCGUCUCCCUUUCCCGUGAGAAUCCAACAGUGUCUGGACUCUGUGGAAUGUAAACAGUGCUGUGACUGCAAGCAGCUGCUCAGUGAGGAAACAGAAACCAACAUCCUCCCCCUUUCUGUGAACACCACUGGGCAGCGUGUUCGUACAAUAUUAGUACAAACCCAAUUUCUGUACAUAGGUACAGUGUUGAUCCCUUGGAACAACCUUGGACAAUAAAUCAGCAGGAAUUUCAUUACCUGGCAUGUAGGACACCGUUACGAGUCCUUUCUGAACACAUUCUCUAGCAUGUUGCAGCUUCAGUUGCAAGUGCUUCGUGUUUUGCUUACAACCUUCAGAAGUCAGCAAAGCCAAACAUGCUUUGUUGUCCUGAUAAACUUGGAUUGGACAUUCAACAGGAAUUCUCAUGUCUUUGCACAACUGUAACAACCAUUCACAAUCCACAAGUGAAUAAGACAGUGCAUUCAGUUCAGCUUCACAAGUACUUAAGCUGACUGUUGUUUGCUUCUUGCACGACCAAUCAAAUGGACCCUGAUUGUACAUGUAGCAAACUCCAGACGUGCUUUUCCUGUCUGUAGUGUCACUUCCAAAACUUGCAUCAGCAGGGACCUCCGGGUUAGCGCCAUCGGCAAUGGCGGAGUUCCUCUGACCGAGAGGAACCCGCUCCGUGAAAAUCGGGUCUUGCCGCCGCGGCAAAGGCGGAGACCCUCUAAAAAUCCCAGGCGAAGGAAGCCUGGGAAUGUGGGAUUCGGCUGACACCAGGAGAGCCUCCCCUACUCGCAGGGAAACCCUUUUUCGGGGAUCCAAAGUGACGUGGGGUGAGUGGCGCGGUGUUUUGAAUCAACCGUUACUUUUAUGGAGUGAAGCCGCACAGCCGUUGCCGGAGAGCGCUGACUUUUUCCUGUGGACAAUUGGACUCUAAACAAGUACCCGUGAGUAGAACGGAAAAUUGGAUUAAGAAACAUUUUAAUUUGGCACUGAAGCGGGAAGGCUCUAAACAGGAAGUCCGCCUCCCGUUUUUGUAACUAAAUUGAAGCAAAAACUUUGUAAGCUAAAGUCUGGAAAGUCGUAUAUAAAGGUCUAAAUUUCCUUCAGUUAUUACCACCCAAACCCCUCUUGGAAGCAGGAGAAAAGGGGGGGGGGAUUUUUGACUGUUUAAGCCUGCAGGAGAGAGAGUAAACAAAGAUAAAUUUCCACCGUCUCAAACCUGGGAACGGGGUGUCAGAGACAGAAAUUUAUGGGGAAGUUCAUCGACUGUGAAUGGAACGUCUUUUGACAGAUAUUAAAAAGGAGAAACAAAUUGACUCCAAUGUUGCUUCUUGCAUUCAAAAGAAACAAAAUAUUUGAAAAAUGAAAGUAAUUUUCUUUUGUUGGUCCUGCUUUCAAAAGAUGGAUACAAAUAGAAAUUGUCUCCUCUAGAGGAGCUUGUUAAUUUGUUGCCGGAGUCGAUCUGGGGCUUUCACAGCUGUAAGAUUAGGAUCGUGAGACCAGACUCUGACCUUGAAUAAAAAUGUGUUUUUUGUGUGUUUUGGUGCUUGCUUUUUGCAAGACAAGCGCUUUGCUGGAGCAGAUGCAUGAGAAGAUGGAUUUGAUGACUGUUGCAGUUAAAAACUUUGGACAAACGGCGAAUGCCCAUAUAGAAACCAUUCAGGAACCAGCCCAGGAACUUGUUUUGACAGGGCAAGCGCAAGUGCAGAAGAUAACGGAGGAGGUUGCUGUUGAACCUCAAGUAACACAAAUGGAGAGAUCCGAGGCCUUGGAGGAGCAUAAGCCACUGUUCUUGAAGUUUGAAUCUGGAGUGGACCAGGGGGGGUCUGGAGUUGUGAGGGCUCUUAAUUCCAGAAGGACUUUGAAACAUGCUUUUAAAUACUUCCUGGAUUACAGUGUUGACUGUGGGGAAUGGGACUUUGGGAAUGGGCUGAUCUGCUGAGGGGAGAUGGAGAUAUUUUUGGAUUGGAGUCCUCCCGAGACCUACCCCCCAAUGAGAAAGGAAAGAAAUUAAGAAAAAGAUCAACAAAAGACAAAGUAAAGUGCAGGUAUAAACAAGAAGAAGAUCUGCAGAAGGGACAUGGAAAAGACUUAAGACCCUCGGACAUAAGAUCACCAGGUUGAUGGACUAGAUGGAAUGGACAAGAAGGACUGACAAAACCCGAGACCAGGAAGAAGAGACG